CUCAGAGUGAAUGUCUGGUAAAGCAAUUUCCCUUUGGAUACACCCCUUUCUGUGAGAGCACAGACAUGAUUGGAGGGACAAUUAUGCUGCUACAAGGUUACUAAGGUAUAUAAGUAUAUUCUUAUUAAUAGUUUGUUUGCCUCUGACGAAGGUGCUUCUCUAAAAGCACCGAAACGUGCGUCAGGCGUUCUAUUCUUCUUUUUUACUUUCUAUGGGCAUUUAACACUUGUCAUGGCGUCUAGUAUGCCGCACAUGGGGGGGUGUGUGUUUUUUUUUAUUUAAUAUUUUAUUCUUUUUUGCUCCAUCAGCUGUCUAGUUAGAAUUAUAGAAAACGAGGUUUUGUAAAUUACCUCUACUGCAAGAUUUUCAAGUAGUUUAUCUUUACGUUUACAUCUUCUAUUUCCUUUUACAUUCUGACAGACUUAUACUCCAAUCUAUUUAACCAUAGACUAUUGAGCAUUCUAAGCAUCAUAGUCUCUAUGGAUAGUAUUUCCCUGACUAAUUUCUCACUACAUCCAUUAAGAGAUAAGCCUUCUUCAUUUUUUUACCUUUAUUGGUUCGUUUGUUUUUUCUUGAGUCCUUCUAUUUAGGACACAUAUUGCCAGUCCAUAAUAGCAUUAUACUAUAUUAAUUUCCCUAACAGGUUACUUCUUCUGUAAUUUGAGUUUUUCUCUUUAGUCAAGGAUACUGUGAUAAAGUGAAGGCAGAUAGGCCUUUUAACCCCAGGGGAAGUACGUGUAGUUUGUGUGUUGCACAACACAAAACACUGUUUAGUUAUGGGCCCCUGGGGUGGAGCAUUUGGAGAGAAGGGUGGGCCAAUGCUCCACUCCACAGUUUAGUGGUUUUCUGGGGAGACAUGAAUCCAGGCCAGGGUUUUUUGGAUCGUCUCCAACCCACUGCUCAGCUGCAGUUAAUGAGCUGUUGCAGUGGGAAUAAACUCCUCCCUGCUAGACAGGUAAUAGAGAGGGAUUGCUGGCUUCCUCCCAGGAAGCAGGUAGGAGAGAUCAGUUCUCUCCAGAUAGAGUCAAGGAGACUAGGCACUUGGAGUGCAGAAAGGAAGCAGUCAAUGCUGGCUUGGAGCACUGGGAGUGCAGAAAGGAAAGCAGUCAGGGCAAGGCUGGCUUGGAGCACUAGGAGUGCGGAAAGGAAAGCAACAGGCUAGCCAGCAGAGUGUUGCUAACUAAUAAGGUUGGUGCCAUAUGUUUUGUUAGUUUAACCCUGAUAGAGAGGGAUAUACAAAGUGAGUUAGUGCUCAGACGAGCUAGGUUUUUUGUUUAUAGGGUUUUCUGUUACAGUUAUGUUUUUCAUUUACUGCUGUAUCCUGUGUGGAUUUUCAAAUAAAGUGCCUGGAGUAUAUGCAAUUACAAGGACUGUGCAUGUUUUUGCCCUAGAGGACCGUGCUACCUGCUGACAAGGAUCACAAUAUGGUGGAGAAUGCGGGCGCAGUAGCACAUUGAGGGUCUGUGGGUUUGCCAGUCAUUCUGUAGUCUGCUUGAGGACUUUUAUUUAGCAGACCUGCUAAUCAAAUAAGUAGCACUGCACCUUUAAGACUGUUACCUGCUUGGUGCUAUAAUGGAGGACCUGCUGAAGGCUCUGGUACAGGCAACCACUGUACAACAAGAGGCAACUGCUAUACAACAAAACACCAACCAUUUCCUGGCUGCACAGAUUAAGAACCUGAGGGACGCUCAGCAGGAGUAUAGAGCUGCCCUUACUAAUGUUUUGCAGAUUGCCCCCGGCAGGGUGUGUGGGGACAAGGGACCCCGUAACCAAGCUACUGACAUCCUGCAUAAGAUGACAGUGGCAGUAGAAGAAGUCUUCAACAAGCUGAAAAGCAUGGAGGCAGCAAAGCAUGAUAUUGAGAAACAUGCAGAAGAAAGAGAACAGGAAUUAGAAGGCAAGAAGGAUGAAAUUGAGCCUAAAAGUAGUGAUAAAAUGGAAGAGGGUGAAAAGCCAGCUGGAUCCUCCAAGGAACAAAAAGAAGAAAAGUUAGUAAAGAGUCCAGCAAAGCUAAAGGAAAAAGCAGAAUUGCCAAGAGGCAGUGAUGGUGACACUGAUGACAUGCGCCAGAGUAAGAAAGGGCAGAAGAAUCAGAAAGGAGAGCGAGGCAAACUGAUUACUGAAGUUGACAAGUGUUUAUUUGAGAACCAAAAUGUUGCAGCUUCACGUGAAAGCCUCAAACUUGCUCUAAGUGGCAUCACAACAGAUAAAGCGAUCCUGGGAAAAGAGUUGGAAACAAAAAUAUUUUCACGCUCAGAAACUGAAUCUUGCAUGUUUCAAGAGAAUGCUGGAAAAACAUUUGAAAACAGAAAGGUACUGAUAAAUCUUCCCAAGGUAACGAAAGAAGAAGAGGAGAAUGACCGGAACAGUGCCUGCAGUGUGGAAAACAAGGAUGAGACCAUUAAAGAUUCCUCUGGACCGGAAGAUGAGACUCAAUCAUGUAACGAUGACACAGUGCCAUCUGCUACAUGUCGGGAUGUACAAGAGGCAAUCAGGCCACGGAGGUGCAAGUAUUUUGAUGCAAAUAAUGAAAUAGAAGAAGAACCAGAGGAUGAUGAGGAUUAUGUUCCUUCAGAAGACUGGCAAAAGGAAAUAAUGGUUGGUUCCAUGUUCCAGGCAGAGAUUCCAGUUGGCAUCUGCAAGUACAAGGAAACUGAAAGAGUGUAUGAAAAUGAUGACCAGUUAUUGUGGAACCCAGAUUUUAUAGUGGAAACAAGAGUUCUAGAUUUUCUAAGUGAAGCGUCCAGAAGGACUGGUGAAGAGAAGGGAAUAGAUGCAAUUCCAGGGGGAUCACAUAUAAAAGAAAACGAAGCCAGAGCUCCUGAUGUACACCCAAGUGAACCAGUUAAAGGUAUGAAAAGCAGACUGACUUGGGGAGUCAGAGAAGACAACCACAAAAGAGCUGAGCUUAAUGGAGAGAAGCAAAGCACCCCAGCUGAGUAUAGCAAUGCGCUGCACUGUUUAGUAGCCGAGGCUACUCAAGAAUGUCGACCAGCUGUUGAACAGUUUGGCAGAGAAAAGAAAGGCAGAGAAGUAGUGGCAAAACUAAGUCAAAAUAAGAAAGGCAAAGUAGCCGCUUCUGAUCUAAGCCAAGAGAGAGCGACAGUUACAGAACCAAGCUGUGAUGAUAAGAUGGGCACGUCCGCAGCUAAGCCAGACCAAGGCGAACGUCACAAAGUAGGUGACAUUGGCGUAGCAGAAUUAAAUAUUUCAAAGACAUCUGGUAUUGCUACAAAGACUUUUAAUGAUUUUUCGGGAGCCGUAGAACUUGAUCUGCUGGCAAAGACUACUGCUACACGGCCUGGGCGCACUGACUACCUGGAACAGCUGCCAGACUCUGGGAGCACAAUCAUGGAAUCAAAGGUGGAACUCGGAAUGCCUGACCGGCUGUUUGAUACCGGGGCUGUCAUGACCCAGCCAGAGGCCAUGACUGCGUCUCCGGACAACCCCGAGGGAGCAGGGAGACUGCCAGACAGCCCAGAGGAAAGCAUUUCUGACAGUGAGAGGUGGCCACUCAAGGCAGAGCAUUCGGAGGAUACCCCUGGGGAGGAAGCCAGGCAAAGGAGAGAUGAGCUAAGCCGGGAGUCUGGGCCUCAGGUAGAAGAACAGUGCUGCAUACCAGGCCAGGCCGAGCAUGAUAGGAUGGAGCUGGGAUCAAAGGCUGCAUUCAUGCAGGAGGAAGUUGCUCUAGACAGCCUCCCUGACCAACCCCCUGAGGAUAUAGAGAUGAGACCCAUAGCAUUAACCGUAGAAAGCAAUGAAGGUUCCCAGGGAUUCACAGAACAGAUGGAGGAUGUUGUGAAGCCCUUCAUGGAGGGACCGGUUCCAGUGGAGGAUGAGCUGGUGACAGAACCAGGUCUUGAAGAGGUUGAGCACCCAGCAAAUUCGUCUUAUGAAACAACUGGACGUAUAAGUGAUAUAGAAAAGUUAGUUACACGCAAAGCUUUUGUAAAGUUUGCGUUUGAAAGUAACUCGGACAUUGAGAGACUAUCAAACCAGAAGCUGCUGUGGAUGUGGAAGCAGAUGAUGAUUCAGAGGAACUUGGCUACUAAAGAGCCACACAGUACUGAUCAUCGGCCUAGAUCUGCUAGCAACCAAAUAAGCGGGGAAACUGGAAAGAAAGGACAAAAUCUGAUACUGAGUCUGGGAAAAUAUAAUGGUAGAACGUACCCAAAAGUCCCAUUACAGCUACGAGACCAGACUGAGAAACUCAGAUGCUUCAACUGCCACAUGCAUGGACAUAUUACAUAUAACUGUCCUGAAAGUGAAGAGCCAAUACAGUGUGACAUAGGAAUAAGGGCUCUGCAUAGGAUAGUAUUGCCUUGCUUAAAGAUGUGUAUGGUGACUGGUGGUGGUGUUACAGCACAGCUAAAAGUGGUGAUGGUGGUAGGGAAGAGUGCACAAGCACUAAUUAAUUCAGGGAGUGAGGCUACUUUGAAAAGUGUUCUGCUCCAGCCAGAAAAAUUUGGUUUAAGACAAGUGAUCGAUAUUGUGGGUACACAUGGUGACACCCGCACAUACCCCAUGGCAGAGGUAGAGUUUGUCACAGAGGUAGUAAAAGUUAGAUGCCCUGUAGUACAUGUAGCUCAAACGCAAGAGCGUAUAAGUAAGGCCAGGUUUCUGAGUACCUUGGACCUGGUCAUAAGGUAUUGGCAGGUUCCCCUGACAGAGAAAGCAAAGGGAAGGACAGCGUUUUCUACUCCCAAGGGGUUAUGGCAACAUAAAGUACUGCCAUUCAGGUUGCAUAGUGCACCAGCCCCUUUCUGCAUAUGAAUAGGAUACUUUGGCCCAACAGAGAGAAUGCAGCUGCCUACCUUGGUGAUGUGGCGAUUCACAGGGUGGACUUGGAAGCACACCUGAUGAGGGUCCAGUUAGUUGUGAAUAAUGCAAGGGCUGCCGGUCUGACCGCUAACACUAAGUGUUAUCUAGGAUUUGAGGCAGCUAACUAUUUGGGUUAUCCACUUGGGUGGGGGUUCCUUAAACUACAAGGGAACAAGGUAGCAGCCAUCUGCAAUAGGCCACUUCCUGUAACUGAGGAGCAAGUCAGGGCUGGUACAGCCCUAGGUGAUGUGAUUGUUCAUGGUUUGUGUUCUAAGGUCGCUCGACCCAAUGGGUCUGAGCUGGGGGGGAGGAUAUGUGAUAAAGUGAAGGCAGAUAGGCCUUUUAACCCCAGGGGAAGUACGUGUAGUUUGUGUGUUGCACAACACAAAACACUGUUUAGUUAUGGGCCCCUGGGGUGGAGCAUUUGGAGAGAAGGGUGGGCCAAUGCUCCACUCCACAGUUUAGUGGUUUUCUGGGGAGACAUGAAUCCAGGCCAGGGUUUUUUGGAUCGUCUCCAACCCACUGCUCAGCUGCAGUUAAUGAGCUGUUGCAGUGGGAAUAAACUCCUCCCUGCUAGACAGGUAAUAGAGAGGGAUUGCUGGCUUCCUCCCAGGAAGCAGGUAGGAGAGAUCAGUUCUCUCCAGAUAGAGUCAAGGAGACUAGGCACUUGGAGUGCAGAAAGGAAGCAGUCAAUGCUGGCUUGGAGCACUGGGAGUGCAGAAAGGAAAGCAGUCAGGGCAAGGCUGGCUUGGAGCACUAGGAGUGCGGAAAGGAAAGCAACAGGCUAGCCAACAGAGUGUUGCUAACUAAUAAGGUUGGUGCCAUAUGUUUUGUUAGUUUAACCCUGAUAGAGAGGGAUAUACAAAGUGAGUUAGUGCUCAGACGAGCUAGGUUUUUUGUUUAUAGGGUUUUCUGUUACAGUUAUGUUUUUCAUUUACUGCUGUAUCCUGUGUGGAUUUUCAAAUAAAGUGCCUGGAGUAUAUGCAAUUACAAGGACUGUGCAUGUUUUUGCCCUAGAGGACCGUGCUACCUGCUGACAAGGAUCACAAUACUUACAAGGAGCAUUAUAUUAAUAUAUAUAUAUAUAUAUUCUGUUUAGUGUACUGGAUAUUAUACAGAUUUUGCUGUGGAUGCAUAUAGAGCCAGAUCUAAUAAAGCUCUAGAUAGACAUCCCACACUGUAAAUAUUUCCAUAAUACCUGUACACUAUUUAGGUUUUUAUUUUUUUUAUUAUUUUCACUCUCUAGUCCUUAUCGUAUGGAGAUUAGUUUGAUGUUUUCAUUAUAGGAAUUCAUGUGUAUAUAGUUAACAUUUAAUCACCAUUAGACUACUUUAUAUUUCCAGGUAGCACAGCGAGUCACAUAUGCCCUUGUCAUUGUGAUAAGCAUAUUGUGCAUUUUCCUGUUUUCUAUAUAUCAAUUCUCUCCUGAUAGAAAAGGUAAACAGUUGUCAUUGAUAGUAUCCCCGUGACAGAGUGAUGGAGAAAGAGGCAUGACAUCUGCCUUGGGACCAGUUGCAGCACUAUCAGAAGCAUUAUCGGGCCUAGUGUUUCUGGCUAUUAUAUAAUAACACUGUCAGAGUGCUGCCAGGAGCCAUGGUCCUAAGGUUCCUAUUUGUUUACGGAUGCACGUGUCAAAACCAGGAGUUAUUCAACAUUCCAGAUAUGUGCUUCAUAAUACAAGGGCACUUACAAACAAUGACUCACCAACAUCUUGCUCUCUGCAGACUGGCCACUAAAAUUGAUUAAUAUGGGUUAAAUUCAGGCCAAACUGUUUCAUCCAAAUGCUGCACCUUUGUUACUAAAAUAUAUAGGCCAUUAAGCACAUUAUUCUGACCCUGAUUGCUAUUUCAGUGUUCCUGUGUGCCAGAACUAGCAUGUUUCUAUCUCUGACUCUGCCUUGCCCAUAGUUCUAGUGUUACAGCGUACCAUACCCAGCUAGUCCCUGACUCAGAUUUUCCUUUGUUUUAGUAUUACAGCGUACCAAACUCAGCUUGUCCCUGACUCAGAUUUUCCCUUGUUCUAGUGUUACAGCGUACCAGACCCAGCGUGGCCCUCAAUCAGAUUUUCCCUUGUUCUAGUGUUACAGCGUACCAAACCCAGCUUGUCACUGAAUCAGAUUUUCCCUUGUUCUAGUGUUACAGCGUACUUGACCCAGCUUGUCCCUGAAUCAGAUUUUCCUUUGUUCUAGUGUUACAGAGUUUCAGUCCCAGCUUGUUCCUGACUCUGUGUUUCCCUUGUUCUAGUGUUACAGCGUACCAGACCCAGCGUGGCCCUCAAUCAAAUUUUCCCUUGUUCUAGUGUUACAGCGUACUUGACCCAGCUUGUCCCUGAAUCAGAUUUUCCCUUGUUCUAGUGUUACAGCAUACCAAACCCAGCUUGUCCCUGAAUCAGAUUUUCCCUUGUUCUAGUGUUACAGCAUACUUGACCCAGCUUGUCCCUGACUCUGAUUUUUCCUUGUUUUAGUGUUAGCGCACCAGACCCAGCUUCUCCCUGACUUUGAUUUUCCCUUGUUCUAGUAUUACAGCGUACCAGACCCAGCUUGUCCCUGAAUCAGAUUUUCCCUUGUUCUAGUGUUACAGAGUUUCAGGCCCAGCUUGUUCCUGACUCUGUGUUUCCCUUGUUCUAGUGUUUCAGCGUACUUGACCCAGCUUGUCCCUGAAUCAGAUUUUCCCUUGUUCUAGUGUUACAGCAUACUUGACCCAGCUUGUCCUUGACUCUGAUUUUUCCUUGUUUUAGUGUUACAGCGUAACAGACCCAGCUUCUCCCUGACUUUGAGGUUUCCUUGUUCUAGUAUUACAGCAUACCAGACCCAGCUUGUUCCUGACUUUGAGGUUUCCUUGUUCUAGCGUUACAGCGUACUUGACCCAGCUUGACCCUUAAUCAGAUUUUCCUUUGUUCUAAUAUCACAGUGUACCAGACCCAGCUUGUUCCUGACUGAGUUUCCUUUGUUCUAGUAUUACAGCAUACCAGACCCAGCUUGUUCCUGAAUCAGAUUUCCCCUUGUUCUAGUGUUACAGCGUACCAAACCCAGCUUGUCCCUGAAUCAGAUUUUCCCUUGUUCUAGUGUUACAGCAUACUUGACCCAGCUUGUCCCUGACUCUGAUUUUUCCUUGUUUUAGUGUUAGCGCACCAGACCCAGCUUCUCCCUGACUUUGAUUUUCCCUUGUUCUAGUAUUACAGCGUACCAGACCCAGCUUGUCCCUGAAUCAGAUUUUCCCUUGUUCUAGUGUUACAGAGUUUCAGGCCCAGCUUGUUCCUGACUCUGUAUUUCCCUUGUUCUAGCGUUACAGCGUACUUGACCCAGCUUGUCCCUGAAUCAGAUUUUCCCUUGUUCUAGUGUUACAGCAUACUUGACCCAGCUUCUCCCUGACUUUGAUUUUCCCUUGUUCUAGUAUUACAGCUUACCAGACCCAGCUUGUUCCUGACUUUGAGGUUUCCUUGUUCUAGCGUUACAGCGUACUUGACCCAGCUUGACCCUUAAUCAGAUUUUCCCUUGUUCUAAUAUCACAGUGUACCAGACCCAGCUUGUUCCUGACUGAGUUUCCUUUGUUCUAGUAUUACAGCAUACCAGACCCAGCUUGUUCCUGAAUCAGAUUUCCCCUUGUUCUAGUGUUACAGCGUACCAAACCCAGCUUGUCCCUGACUCUAAGUUUCCCUUGUUCUAGUGUUACAGCUUACGAGACCCAGCUUGUCCCUGACUCUGAGUUUCCCUUGUUCUAGUGUUACAGCGUACCAGACCCAGCUUGUCCCUGACUCUAAGUUUCCCUUGUUCUAGUGUUACAGACUAUCAUGCCUUUGCAGGUGCAAUGGCUUACUUAGCUGAUUAGAGUGGGACACUGAGCCUAGAAUAUUGCACCUUUUCACAAUAUUCUAAUUUACUGAGAUUGUGGAUUUGGGGUUUUCAUGAGCUGUAAGCCAUAAUCAUUGCACUUAUGACAAAUCACAGCUUGAACUAUCUUGCUUUGCAUGUAAUGGGUCUAUCUCAUAUAUUAGUUUCCCCUUUUACUGUGCACUAUUGAAAUAAAUGAACUUUUGCACAAUAUUCUAAUUUUUCGAGUAUCACCUGUAUAUUGACCCUUGAGACGUUUAAAAACAAAAUGCCUAUUUUUAUAUGGCAUCUCCUUGGCUCUAUUUUAUUACCCUUCAUCCUGAUGCUAAAGGGAUUCUAGUAAGAAUAGAGCUGUGAAGCAAAAACAAUGGUUGGUUAGGGGGAGAAUGAAUAGAAGACAAAUAAUGGUUUAAAAUAUUAAUAGGGCACCAUUUAUUAUAUGUAGGGUAAAGUGGUAAUUUGACACAUCUGGAUGGCUUUCGUAUGGGGCAAGCAAACUGUAUAAUGGUCUAAAUGUUUUUUUAAGCAUUGCUUUGUUUUAGUAGAGCUUUCGCUAGUAAUAGUAAUAAAAUAUAUAUAAAUAUACACGGACAUAUCAUAUACCUGUGCAUUCCCCCACCGGGGCACUGAAAUAGUUAAGUUUGUUCUAGUAAUUUGUACUACUAUUCCAUACACUAUCUUUUCAAAUGUUCACAAUUGCAAAACAGUUGCAGUAGACACAAGCAGUAGUAAAAAAAAAUAGCUACAAGUUUGGAAACAUUUCGGCAGAUGCCUCUGAUACAAAACGGCUGUUGUAAUAACAGCUUUCACCAGAUAUUUAGUAACAAGGGUGGAAACAAAGUCUGAGUUUGUUAUCCUAAUAUUUUAGCAUAAAAAAUGUAUACUAAAAUAUAUAAAUAAUAUUAGAACUAUCAUAAAAGGCAAUAACAAUGAAAUCAAGGGACACUAUAAACAGAUGUUACGAAAACUACAAAGAAUUGAGCAAAUAAAAGCAUAGAUGGUUCAAAAUAAUGAAAAGCAGGGCAGAUGUCAAGGGAUAAAAGAUGUAUUAAAACAUCUAACACUAUAACACUGGACAUUAAGUUAUCUAAUAUGGCAAAAUAUACAAAAGAUCUUUUAAAUCAUAUAGGGGUGUGAAAAACCCAACGUGAUAUGGAUAAUAAAUCUGGAAAUGCAUAUUUCUCUGGAUAUGCAUGGUAUCCAGAGAAAUAUGUAGACAAAAAAAAUCUCCCUUUCAGACAGUCAGCUAAAUCCAUUAAAAACAGAGUGCUGCUGAAUAUACAAUUGAGGCAGAAUACAUAUUUUUGUUACCCUAUGUUACAUAGUUACAUAGCUGAAAAGAGACUUGUGUCCAUCAAGUUCAGCCUUCCUCACAUAUGGAUUUGCUGUUGAUACAAAAGAAGGCAAAAAAAAAAAAGAAAAAAACAGUCUAAAGCUCUUCUAAUUUUGCAACAAACUAGGAAAAGAUUCCUUCUUGAUUCCAAAAUAGCAGUCAGAUAUCUCAUUGGAUCAAGCAGCUAUUACCCCACUAAUUAGAAAUGAUACCCCUGUACAGGGAGAGCAGAAUUAUUAGGCAAGUUGUAUUUUUGAGGAUUAAUUUUAUUAUUGAACAACAACCAUGUUCUCAAUGAACCCAAAAAACUCAUUAAAGGACCACUCUAGGCACCCAGACCACUUCAGCUUAAUGAAGUGGUCUAGGUGCCAGGUCCUUCUAGGGUUAACCCAUUUUUUCAUAAUUAUAGCAGUUUCAGAGAAACUGCUAUAAUUAUGAAUGGGUUAAGCCUUCCCCCUAAUCCUCGAGUGGCUGUCUCAUUGACAGCCACUAGAGGCGCUUGCGUGCUUCUCACUGUGAAAAUCACAGUGAGAGCGCCGGCGUCCAUAGGAAAGCAUUGUAAAAUGCUUUCCUAUGGUUUCCCCGACUGAAUCUUGGCGCGCUCUUGCGGCGCGUCGCAUUCAACCCGGUGAAGGUAGAAUCGGAGGAGGAUGUCCGGAGGAGAGCUCUCCGCCCGAAGCGCUGGAAAAAGGUAAGUUAUUACCCCUUUCACAGGCGGGCGGGAGACUCCCCUGAGGGUGGGGGCACCCUCAGGGCACUAUAGUGCCGGGAAAACAGUAUGUUUUCCUGGCACUAUAAAUAAUCCUUUAAUAUCAAAGCUGAAUAUUUUUUGGAAGUAGUUUUUAGUUUGUUUUUAGUUAUAGCUAUGUUAGGGGGAUAUCUGUGUGUGCAGGUGACUAUUACUGUGCAUAAUUAUUAGGCAACUUAACAAAAAACAAAUAUAUACCCAUUUCAAUUAUUUAUUAUUACCAGUGAAACCAAUAUAACAUCUCAACAUUCACAAAUAUACAUUUCUGACAUUCAAAAACAAAACAAAAACAAAUCAGUGACCAAUAUAGCCACCUUUCUUUGCAAGGACACUCAAAAGCCUGCCAUCCAUGGAUUCUGUCAGUGUUUUGAUCUGUUCACCAUCAACAUUGUGUGCAGCAGCAACCACAGCCUCCCAGACACUGUUCAGAGAGGUGUACUGUUUUCCCUCCUUGUAAAUCUCACAUUUGAUGAUGGACCACAGGUUCUCAAUGGGGUUCAGAUCAGGUGAACAAGGAGGCCAUGUCAUUAGAUUUUCUUCUUUUAUACCCUUUCUUGCCAGCCACGCUGUGGAGUACUUGGACGCGUGUGAUGGAGCAUUGUCCUGCAUGAAAAUCAUGUUUUUCUUGAAGGAUGCAGACUUCUUCCUGUACCACUGCUUGAAGAAGGUGUCUUCCAGGAACUGGCAGUAGGACUGGGAGUUGAGCUUGACUCAUCCUCAACCCGAAAAGGCCCCACAAGCUCAUCUUUGAUGAUACCAGCCCAAACCAGUACUCCACCUCCACCUUGCUGGCGUCUGAGUCGGACUGGAGCUCUCUGCCCUUUACCAAUCCAGCCACGGGCCCAUCCAUCUGGCCCAUCAAGACUCACUCUCAUUUCAUCAGUCCAUAAAACCUUAGAAAAAUCAGUCUUGAGAUAUUUCUUGGCCCAGUCUUGACGUUUCAGCUUGUGUGUCUUGUUCAGUGGUGGUCGUCUUUCAGCCUUUCUUACCUUGGCCAUGUCUCUGAGUAUUGCACACCUUGUGCUUUUGGGCACUCCAGUGAUGUUGCAGCUCUGAAAUAUGGCCAAACUGGUGGCAAGUGGCAUCGUGGCAGCUGCACGCUUGACUUUUCUCAGUUCAUGGGCAGUUAUUUUGCGCCUUGGUUUUUCCACACGCUUCUUGCGACCCUGUUGACUAUUUUGAAUGAAACGCUUGAUUGUUCGAUGAUCACGCUUCAGAAGCUUUGCAAUUUUAAGAGUGCUGCAUCCCUCUGCAAGAUAUCUCACUAUUUUUGACUUUUCUGAGCCUGUCAAGUCCUUCUUUUGACCCAUUUUGCCAAAGGAAAGGAAGUUGCCUAAUAAUUAUGCACACCUGAUAUAGGGUGUUGAUGUCAUUAGACCACACCCCUUCUCAUUACAGAGAUGCACAUCACCUAAUAUGCUUAAUUGGUAGUAGGCUUUCGAGCCUAUACAGCUUGGAGUAAGACAACAUGCAUAAAGAGGAUGAUGUGGUCAAAAUACUCAUUUGCCUAAUAAUUCUGCACUCCCUGUAUUUUAUGUUUUUGGAAAUAUUUAUCCAAUUGCUGCUUAAACAUCUGUAGGAACUCUAAAGAAAAAAACCUCUUCAGGCAGAGAAUUCCAUAUCCUUAUAGUUCUUACUGUAAAAAAAACUUUAAUUUUCCUUAGAGUAAAUCUCCUUUCUUCCUGCCUAAAUGUAUGACCUCGUGUCCUAUGUAUAGCCCUGUUUAUAUAUAGAUUUCCAGAUUUCCAGAUAAUGGUUUGUACAGGCCCCGUAUAUAUUUGUGUAAUGUUAUCAUAUCCACUCAUCUCUGCACUUUUUCUAGUGCCAUGAUAUCCCUCUUUAGAACAGGUGCCCAAAAUUGCACAGCAUAAUCAAGGUGUGGUCUUACCAGCGAUUUAUAAAGAGGCAAAAUUAUAUUUUCAUCCCGAGAAUAUAUACCCCUAUUUAUACAUGACAAAACCUUAUUGGCCUUAGCAACUGCAGAUUGACAUUGCAUAUUGCUGCCUAAUUUGUUGUCUAUAACAAUUCCCUAAUCCUUCUCGUGGUUAUUCCUAAUUCACUACCAUUUAGGGUGUAAAUUGCUUGUGCAUUCUUGAUUCCCGAAGUGCAUAACUUUGCAUUUCUCUACAUUAAAUUUCAUCUGCCAUUUUAGUGCCUAGUCUCCCAGUCUAUCUAAAUCCCUCUACAGCAAAGCAAUGUCCUACUCACAUUUUAUUACUUUACAAAGUUUUCUCAAACUCUAAAAAAAAUGGCUUUCAAUGCCUAUUGUAAGAUCGUUUAUAAAAAUGAGAAAUAGAAGCAGUCCCAAAACAGAUCCCUGAGGGGCAACACUUACCACUUUUGUCCAGCUUGCAAAUUUACCAUGAGUGACAACUCGUUGUACUAUAUUUUUAAGCCAGUAGUCUACCCAAGAACAAGAAUAUUAAUCUAGACCAACUAACACACACUCUGCAUUCAUUACACUGACACACACUCUGCAUUCGCUACACUGACACACACUCUGUAUCCACUACACUGACACACACUCUGUAUCCACUACACUAACACACACUCUGCAUUCAUUACACUAACACACACUCUGUAUUCACUACACUGACACACACACUCUGCAUUCAUUACACUAACACACACUCUGUAUUCACUACACUGACACACUGUAACCGCUGGUGGUUCCCUUAUUUACCACUAUAAUGUCUUAAAGCAUAGAACUUAGUAGGGCUAACCAUACAGAUAUCUUAGCCAUAAUUUUAUAUAGUGUAAGAGAUCCUCUAUUUAACAUAUAUAAAUAAUUGAGAAUACAAUAUAAAAUAAGGAUUGUCUUGGAAGCAAGAUUGUCUUUUGGAUAUUUAUUAUAUAAAAAUAUAAAAUCCAUUAUAGCAGAGUUUAUAAGAUUUAAAUUACAUGCUUGCAAAUAUCAUUAAUAGGUUAACAUACCCUUCUGAACAUGUCAUCAUGUCAGCCUCUCUGUCAUUUUAAGAUGGAGCAGCGUCUGUCUCCAAGUCUCUCCUCUGUGUCUUAACAUUUAAAAGUACACCUAUUUAUACCUUAGGUGUCUCCAUUUUAGGUUACUGUAGUUCAAAUAUGAAAAAGUAACACUUCUUUUACUUUAUUCAAUUUAGGACCUCCCUUAACUUGGCAAACAUACAAGGCCAUAACUAAAGGGUGCAUACGUCAUGGAAAUUUUCCUGACUUAGUUCAAGAUGGCAUCUUAAAGUCUGAAUAUGUUAUCUGUUGUUUAUACUAAGUCGUAAGUGUACAGUCGCGGGAGAUUCCCGGAUUUGGGGAAGUUCCAUUAACUUGGGGUUACCACAGUAUAUUGUGUACUGCAAGUGUCGUAGUAUAGCCUUGAAGCUUGUUUAUGCAUUAUUGUUAUUGUAAUUCGUCUGGGACAAAAUGGCGCAAACAUAUUAUGCACUGAGGUUAUUGCUUAAAGAAACAUCUAUGAGAAACAAUAUGUUCCAUUUCUUACACCUUGUCAGUUUGCAAUAUCUCUUAAAGACAAAGUACACAGUUUAAGAAAUACAACAUUUCAUUCUAAAACUUGUAAUAUUUGAAUUUGCCCAUAACACCCUCUCCAUUAAACUGUGGGCAUUGUAGCGUAUUUCUUCCUUAAAUUAGUGAACCAAAGUUCUCCAACAGUCUUUUGUUUUUUUUGUGCUCCCAGCAUCUUUGAUCAUUGUUGUAACAGUAAAAUAUCCGUAGUAUGAUCUUUGCCUGUAAAAUGAGCAAAACAUUUGUCUGGGAAAGAAUUGAAAAGAACACCAAGUUCCAGAGUAAUAUAUUCUUGGAUAGAUCCAGAUAUGAAUUGUAAUCCAAAGUUAAAAGUAGUAAUUGUAUUUGUAAUCCAAAGUCUUUAAAUGCCUGUAGAAGUUUACAUUUUUUAGAUACAUUGCUGGAAAUUGUGUUUGUAGAAUACCCGGGUAUUUGUUGUUUAGUAUUGGUUGUAGAGUCCAGCUUUCCAAGUAUUUGGCUAGAAUUGGUCGCAGAUAUUGAAUCCGCAUAAUCUGUUAUCACCGUGGUGAUGGUGUUGGUAUUUGACUUUGUCUUUUGUCUUUGCUUUUUAUUUUGUUUGUUUUUUCCAUGAAACAUUUUUACACUGUUUAUGAUGUGUAUAGAUUGGAUACUCUCCGAUAUUCUUUUACGGAAUAAAUUAAUUGACAUAAUUUCCAAGACAUUGUCUUAAGUGACAUGGAUCCCAUUAUAGUAAAUGUUAUGUUGAUACAGCAAUUGAAGUGGAUUCCCAAGAACGCCUCUUUUUGCGGUGUUUGAAUCUUUGUAACAUCUCAGUGAUAGACAUCUCACUGACAUCAGGUGCUGUUGUGCUAAAAAUGUUAACAGGUAAAAUCUGUGGAAAAAUCUUUACAUUUGUUAUACUUUGUAUAAUAAUGAUAGAUGAAAUAGUAACAUAGUUAAUCUUUCUAGUGUUUUGUAUUAGAGAUAAACACCCUUGUAUAUGAUUUAGAUAUAUAAGGAUAAUUUGAAGCAGCAAAGUAUUUACUGCCCUUGUUCACAAUGGUAUGUAAAAUUACAUUCUCUUUAAAUGUUAAAAAUACUCCUUUAUUCAAAAUCUCUCUAUAUUUAAAAUAGUUGCUAAUUGGAAAUAUGACAUUAUUCAUCUUUCUUUGUCCUGUUAGGGAGAAGACAACUUAUUCCCUAAGUUAUAAUUAGUAAAUAUAAUAACUACAGUUAUUAGUGGCUUAAAAUACCAGAAACCCCCAAAUAUUGUCUUAGAAAACAUUUUUUUUUAUUUAUUUUAACCAAGAUCUGACAGCCAUUGUGGAAAGUUACAUUCGUGAGAUUGGAUGCUUAACAAUGUGAAUCUUAAUUGUUUAAGUAUAUUUACCAGCGGCUGUUGGGUGUAGCUUAAGAUGGUUAGAAUGUAUUAUUAUUUCUAAAAGUGAGUUAAGAAAGCACUCCGAUACAAUAUUGAAGGUGUUUAUAUUUUAACACUACCUUUGUAUAGGUGGUUUUAUGUACCUUUAACCAUCACAAACCAAAUAACAUUUUCUUUGUAUUUGAAAAACUGAUAAAAUAUUUGAUUACGUGUAUUUUAACAUAUAUAUAUAUAUAUAUAUAUAUAUACACAUAGAGUGGUAUGGAUGUUGAAUUUAUAUCUUUGAUAUCUUUUCACCAAUUUGCAAUAGGUGACCUAACUUAUCAAUUUCCAAAAUAAUCAUGUGUAUCACCUGGACGGGUUAAUCCAUAAUACUCUCUUACUUUCCAUUGACUGGCCUUAGCUCUGGCAGACUGAAUAUUUUUAUCAUUAUAAAUAAACUUUAUGAUAGUUGAAAAAGUUUCUGCCUGUCUGUCAGUUAAAUUUUAACUGUUGAAGUAUUUCACUUAUAUUAAUUGAUUAUACCACUCUGCAAACUUAAACGAAUAUUGAGUAGUUUCUGUUUUAAUAAAAACAUUUUAUAUUUUCUUCUAAAGUUUAAACCUUAUUCAUUAUUGCAGUUGUUAUUGCAAUCAUAUGAUCUUUAACUAUCAUGAUUCAAUUAUUCAUCUUGGUAAUUAGCUGUUAUGCUCUUAUACGUAUGUUUAAUAUAUUUGUUUGUAGGCCAGACUGCAGCUGCAUAUGGCAUUUUAGCAAUAAUCUUCAAUUGCGUUUCAGAUAUUCACAAAGUCUAUCCACCUUUGUAAUUAACACAUUAUGUGUUUCUUAUACCAUUAAUUAUAGUAUCUGUAUUAUAUUACACAUUGUCACUGACACAUUUCUGAUACAGGGAAAAAAAUAGCAUGAUUGCUUUAGUAAUUAUACUUUUUCGGUCCAUGCACCACAUUCCUGGAAGUCCAGAAUAUAGCAAGAAUCCUUUGUCGUUUCAUUCUAUGGAGCCAUUUAACGUUUUGAUGGGUAUAGUUAUACCAAAAGAGCAAGGAGUACGACGGUAGAUCACAUCUGCAACAGAACCAUUACAGAUUUCUUGUUGUAUCAAUGUCUCUGUGUUUAUGUUUACAGGAAUUCCUUGCUUUGCAGGUAUGUACAUAAUAUGUAGAGUUUAAGAAAAGCUGCAAAUCGUGCUUUAGUACAAGUGUCCCGUGAUGUCAGGUUUCUGAAAGAUUUUGCUGGUCUUUUUAUAUUCCAUUCUCUUGGCAGGGCAUCUGCUCUUAGUAGGCCGGUAUUGUUAUUAUUUAUUAAUUGCAUCAAGGUUUCUUUCGUUAAUUGAUGUGUUUCUUCCAAAUUCAAAUUCAUAUGCCACCAAAUGUCAUUGUAAAGUUCAUUGUUACAGAAUAUUGUUCCAGGAUGGUUUUUCUCUCCAGUAGGAAAUCUAUAUUCCUCUUCUUCUGAUCCUUCCUAUUAACCACUUUUUCUGAGUUGUAGGCAACAAUCUGUGUCUUGUACUGUGAGAUGCUUUGAUAGUCAAUCAGGUUUUGUCAGUACCAUUUUCCAUCUUGAGAAACAGCUGGGUGUUAACAGUUAUCAGCCUUUAUUUCUUUUUCCGGUCAUCUUCUGUCUGGAUAAUAGCAAUGUCCAGAAUUAGCAUAGCACUUCUUUUCAGCAUAAGAAGGCUGUUUGCGGUAGUCACUCAAUGACAAACUAUAUGGCAAAGUCUUUUCUUGCAUCACCUUCAUAGGUGCAUCCAAAGUCUUUCAUAAGCAUCUUUCCCUUCUUUUUCUGUUUUCAGCAUGCUUUGCCAUCAUCGUUGAUUCCAUUAUUAGGAUUUGUAAUAGUCCAAUCACAUCUUUCUCAUGUAUAAUCGUUUUUUGGAAUGAUCUCAAUAGGUUCCUUGUGAAAUACCAGUGUAGGUCACAUUAGCAAUCAUUUCACUGUGAGCUGUGUCUCUCCUUUUGGGAUGGUUCUUGGAGGUAGUCCUCACGAUCAUAGAACUUGUAUAGUGUACAGUCCAAUUCAGUUCAGGUGCUUCCUGCUUGUUAACAUAAUUCCAAUGCAGUUUUAAAACAACAGCUAGGGUUGAUAUUAUGAUAAUGCUGCAGAUUGUAAGAAGGAGACACCAAUUUUCUAGCAUCCUUUUGCUUCCAUCUUUGCAUUUCUUUCUUACUGUAUAAGAUAAUUCAGGUACAGUCUGUUUUCUCCAGAGUCUUUCUGAUAAUGAUGUUGAUGAUUCAUUUUUCGUACAUUCCAUAUUAACUGUGAAUGUAUCACGUCUGUCUGUUCAUCCUUCUCCUUCACAUUUGCAGGUUCAGAUGUCAGAUCACAAUUCAGUCUGUUAUGUGGCUAUGAUUCUGGUGGCAUUUCUGUCGUCCUCUGUUUAUCUUAUCUUGUCAUCUUUAACAGCAUCCAUUGUGUCAGUCAGUGGUUCUGUGAACGUCCUGUUAGUAUUUAGCAGGUUGUAAAAUAUCAAAACUUACUGUUCUCUGUUGGGUCUGAUUGUUCUCUGUAGUAAAAGUUCUCUGUAUCACCCUCUCCAGGACAAACUGGCCAACAGAAGGAAAUAGGUGGUGGUGCAAGGCGAGGUGGGCUGGAAAAAAAUUCCCUAAAUUUCUCUAAUAGAACCAAUGGUUCUAAACUCUCCCUGGUGCAGAAAUAUAAUUGUCAGUGAAAAAUGUGUAACAUUUCAUAUGGUGUCUCACCAUUUGUAUCAACAGGUAUGUUGUGAAUGCUCAUCUGUACCAUAGGAAUAAAUAGAUACCACUGUGUGGGGCAAGCAACUAGUAAAUUGGUUAAUAAUCAUUUAACCUCAGCAUUCUCCCAGACCACAACCCCACAUCUUUGGGGGUGGUUGGGGCACUGAAAUCCCAAAGUAACCCAAAUGUGGUUGCCCAGUUUUAGGUUUCCUUUGCAGUAACUGCAGGACCACCAUCCAAAUGGAUGGUCCUGGGAUUAUCAAAUGCAUACUAAGGAAGUGAGACUAGAAAACGUGGCAUCAGAGGUUGCACUUCGCACAGGAUAUAUCCAAGUAAACCUGGUACAUGCAUCAACACAUACAAAAACAUAUUUAUAACCAUGAGAUGUUGGCAAACUUUCAAUAUAUAGUAAUUCAAAAGUAUGUUGGAUAUUAAUAUUUCAAUAAACAGUACAUCAGUAAUGUGGCAAUAAGCAAAUGCUUAUGAUUACUAAACACAUGAAUUACAGUAUUUCCCAUAUUGUGACCACCAAUAUUCCUUUUCAGGAGUCAAAAGUACAUUACCUCUCUCUAUAAGAGCUUGUCCUAGCCAUGAAAAAGCUUUUAGGGCAAGUCCAUCUUUCCUCUAUAGGAAGAACAACCAACAUAUUACCUUCAAUGGUUAUUAUGUAAUUAACCCCUCUAAACGAUAGGAGUAUUUAUGCGGAUACCAGGUGGAUAAGGUCUGGAUAUCCUUGCAAGCAUAAACUCUGCAUCAUGACAGAGAGAUAGGGUAUGCGAUGUGAUCCAAUGACCACAGAAAAGCGUUGGUAGACACAUUGCAUCAAAGUGCCUGUUAAUGACCAACUACAUGAGGAGAGGGCCCAUGCUUUGUUAUAAGCAUGUCCAUUCACAUAUUACAAUGCCAGGCUUUCAAUUUGUUACCACAAAGCAAAAUGCAGUUGUGGAUAUAAACUCACGACGUAUUGUAAGAAAAACUGUUUGAAUACCAGACUGAGAUUCGAGAUCAGUGAACAGUGGACCAAAAUAGAUAAAUGAAAUCCUAUCAAUUAAUAUACUUUCAAUAUACUUUAUUUAAAUUACUUUAUUCUCUGUAUUAACUAUGAAAUAUUAAAGUUAAAACAAUAACAUUUAAAAGCCAACUUUUAGUGUGCAUAGGAAUUACAAGGCCGUUCAUAAUGUGAGAUAAAGAACAGCUUUUUAAAACCGAAUAGUCUGUGAACACAAGAUGACCUUGCGCUGAAAACUCACUUGCAGGGGAAAAAUAAACUUUUUUUCUUUUUCUUUAGUAAAUUAAUUAAUUAAUUAAACGUAGUUAGGACCUCCCUCAAAGUCCCGAUUACUUUGCAAGAAACAUUUCGUCCUUAAAUACUGGGUAAGUCUAUUAAACAGUGAAAUAGCAUUUUUACACUGUAUAUCAUGUUGUCACAGCUAUAAUGUGCAGUAUUACAAACUAUUCAUAAGUGUUGUGCCAACUGUUCAUUAAAAGCCAGUGAUCUAGCGAGCUAUAGAACACUUAUUUAUUUAUUCUUUAAAUCUCUGACCUCAAUCAGCAAAGCAAUAUUGUAAUGGUGUCCAUUGCAAUCUGCUGUCUUACUUGCUGCUCUUAAAAAUUCUGAAUAUGUUCAGAGAUUUCUUGGGCAAUAAUAAAUCCCCUAAUAAACAACAACUUUGCAUUUAUGCUAAACCUGCCUGUUGUAAACGUAUUCUGUAUAUUUCUUGACAUAAGUACUUGUACUUAAAUCUGUUUAACAAAGCUGUUUAUAUUGUGGUGUAAAUUUUUUUUUUUUAUUAUUAUUUAUUUUAUUUAUUUAUUUUUUAACUUUGCUUAUUUUUUAAAGAUACCUGCAUAUUUAAUUAAAUAUCCUUUAUAUGUCUUUAAGGCAUAAAAUAGCUGCAAAUUAAGAUUAUAUACAAAAAUGCAUGUUCUGGGUGUUCCCGUGAUUCCUUUUCUAUCAUUUAUUUAUUUUUCAAAAAAAAAUUUAAGUCUGGAAUCUGAUUUCUUUUGGGAUGAGCACCCCUCUGAGCCCCCCAAUUUCAGAGGCUUCUUUGGAGGUGACCACUGAAAAGUAUAGAUUCUAUAAAAUAGAUGUGAGGGGGCUUUGGACAGUAAUGUCACUUUAAUUAUACUUUUCAUAUAGCAGAUAUGUGAUAUGCAAUGUGAUUUAAUAUAUCAGAGUAUUAUCACUUUAAUUGACACUACAUUUUUUUAUGCAUUAUUCUUUAUGCAUUCUUCUUUUUUCUUAAUUUUUAAUGUCUGUUUAGAAUAUUGCAGGCUUUGCAAUAUCAAAUUAAUUUUGCAUUAUAUAUAUUCACAGUGCUCUUACAACAUAUUAUUAAAAUUAGCCUCUUUCAGAAUUGUAGAAUAUGUGGUGGAACUGAAUCCUCAUAUAUGAGAUUUGAAACUGUAUUUUUAUUUUUACGCUGUGCCCUGAUCAGUAUUUAUAUACAUAAUUGCGGCAGCAUAUAGCUUUUAAAGAAGCAGUUAUUUCACUCAUCAUGUGUGGUUGCCUGUGGACUUUUUAAAACCUACUUUUUAGUUUUUUUAUAAAUCCGUUUCUGGCUUUGAGAGAGCAGGCUGCUGAAUGCAUGUAAAUGCUGUUAUUGCCUAGUCUAUAUACUUUUAUUUAUAAACAACAUUGAUAUAUUGAUAUAUAAACAACUUUGAUAUUUAAUCUUAUCUUAUGAAAACCUAGUUUAUGAAAUUCACUGAGAUUACAUGUGUCUGACCGAUUACAGUCAGUAGUACAAUAUCAUUGUUCUAAUUUCCUUACUGCUAGUACGGUGGGAUAGUACCACUGAUUUAAGUAAGCUUUCCCUUUUAAAAUUGGUGGACUUUAAUCCUGCCAUUGCAAUAGACUAAAGACUGUACCUGAGUAAGCAAAGUCAUUAUGUGCAGGAAUUGUGCACUUUAAAUAGUAGAAUACUUAUGCUAUUCUAGUGAAUUGGGCUGGCUAAUUCACACAUCAUUUAGUAUCUUUUGGUCACAGUUAAAGCUGUAAAUGUAUUUAACAUUUUAUUUAAAUAAGCCUUUAAUAAUUUCUGUUUAAAAGUUAUCAGAGAUCCUGUCUAGUUACCAUUUUAUUUUGCCCUGAUUUAUCUUACAUAUAUAUUAUUUUUAAUUAUUUUAUAAAUAGUGAUUUUUGCAGAGGAUUUAGAGAAGCAAAGGAUGUAUAACCACCUGUUGCCCUUUUUUCUAGAAGGGUAGUAUAAUUUCAACUCUGUUUAGGAAAAAAUAUAAGCUAGUUAUCUUAUAUUAUAUAACAUAUAUGCUGCAGUAUACUGCAUUGUACUGCACUCAAUGUAUUUAAUAGCCAUGUAUUUUUCUUUAUGGCUGUAUGUAAUAAUGUUGUUCAUAAUUUGGAAUAUAAAACAACGACUUCUCAAUUCCUUGGAAUGUUUACAUGUCUCUGUAUCUCUGCAACCUUGGCUGGAAAUUCCAGACUCCAAAAAUUGUUAUGCUGUUAUAAUUCCUGAUUUUCAAUCAACAGCUAGCCUAACUGACAAUAUGGAAAAUAUCACUGUUUUCUAAAACCUUUCUUAUAUAGUGGACAUUAGAAUCCAGAACGCAGUAAUGCAAUAAUUAAAAAUCCUGUCUGUCUGUUGCAUGAAUGUUUUCAUUAAGCCAUAAUGCAAUUUUCUUUGCAUUCUUGGAAUUAGACUUCCUAUUUCAUCGCUCUGUCUUAUGACUUUUCUUUUGACAACAUUUUGCAUUAAUCUUUUUCCUGCGCAUGCAUACUAAGCAGCUACAAAGAGAACAUAUCCCCCUGUCUGAAAUCCACUGUCCUGGAACUAACGGGCUGUGCUGGUGUAUUAGGCAUAUCAGAGAGUUUACCAAAUAUGUAUAUUUGUUCUAUUAUGAUAUUAGUUAAGAUCCACAAUUUCAGCAUUGUAUGCUAAUUACAUUGUACCUUGCACCUGAACUCACAGUGCCUUGUUCACAUUAAAAUCAUCUCUAAUGAUGAUCUCUCUGAGUCUGGGCUACAAGUAGCUCAAUAGAUUCUUGAUAUUUCAAGACUUGUGCCAUGACAAAGUAUUGUGUCUUCUCUUACGUAUAAGAGGUUACCUAGGUAUUUAUUUUAUAUUUAAAGCUUCCAAGUACAAAGUCCCUUCGUGGUCGCCAAUUGUAACCGCUGGUGGUUCCCUUAUUUACCACUAUAAUGUCUUAAAGCAUAGAACUUAGUAGGGCUAACCAUACAGAUAUCUUAGCCAUAAUUUUAUUUAGUGUAAGAGAUCCUCUAUUUAACAUAUAUAAAUAAUUGAGAAUACAAUAUAAAAUAAGGAUUGUCUUGGAAGCAAGAUUGUCUUUUGGAUAUUUAUUAUAUAAAAAUAUAAAAUCCAUUAUAGCAGAGUUUAUAAGAUUUAAAUUACAUGCUUGCAAAUAUCAUUAAUAGGUUAACAUACCCUUCUGAACAUGUCAUCAUGUCAGCCUCUCUGUCAUUUUAAGAUGGAGCAGCGUCUGUCUCCAAGUCUCUCCUCUGUGUCUUAACAUUUAAAAGUACACCUAUUUAUACCUUAGGUGUCUCCAUUUUAGGUUACUGUAGUUCAAAUAUGAAAAAGUAACACUUCUUUUACUUUAUUCAAUUUAGGACCUCCCUUAACUUGGCAAACAUACAAGGCCAUAACUAAAGGGUGCAUACGUCAUGGAAAUUUUCCUGACUUAGUUCAAGAUGGCAUCUUAAAGUCUGAAUAUGUUAUCUGUUGUUUAUACUAAGUCGUAAGUGUACAGUCGCGGGAGAUUCCCGGAUUUGGGGAAGUUCCAUUAACUUGGGGUUACCACAGUAUAUUGUGUACUGCAAGUGUCGUAGUAUAGCCUUGAAGCUUGUUUAUGCAUUAUUGUUAUUGUAAUUCGUCUGGGACAAAAUGGCGCAAACAUAUUAUGCACUGAGGUUAUUGCUUAAAGAAACAUCUAUGAGAAACAAUAUGUUCCAUUUCUUACACCUUGUCAGUUUGCAAUAUCUCUUAAAGACAAAGUACACAGUUUAAGAAAUACAACAUUUCAUUCUAAAAUUUGUAAUAUUUGCAUUUGCCCAUAACAACACACUCUGUAUUCACUAACACACACUCUGCAUUCAUUACACUAACACACACACUCUGCAUUCAGUACACUGACACACACUCAGUAUUCACUACACUAACACACACUCUGCAUUCACUACACUAACACACACUCUGCAUUCACUACACUAAGACACACUCUUCAGUGGGGGUGGAGCGGCGGUGUGCUGGGGGAAGGGGGAGGGGCAGUGGGGGUGGAGCGGGGCAGACCUUGUGCUUUGUCAGGGGCCCCAAAAUUUCUAGGAAGUGCAGUAGGCUUCAAACUCCAAACUCCAUUAAAGUAUGCAAAUAAUUCCAAACAGCAAUAACUGAGAUUGCACACAAUGAGUAGUGCACCACACAUAUGUGUUGAAUUCUUACCAGCAUAGCUGCAUUUUAUAGAAAGUCUGACAUUUUUAAUAUGGAAUAAAAUUAAUCUCUCAAGUAUAAUUGGUAGCUGCUCCACCUAAUGGAGGUGACAACACAAACAAACAAAAAAACAUAUUCCAAAUAGAAGGCUUUAAAAACCAGGCAAACAAAACAAUCUAAUAACAAUAGUAGAACUGCACUGCUUUUCAAGGGCACUUUAUGGUGUAUAUGACGGUUAUUUUAGCAAUUAUGUACUUUUAUAAUAACGUGUCUUAGUAUUUGUCUCCCAUUCUAAUUAUGUUUCAAGCACUUUAUGUAUUGGUUUGCAUUUAGUAAAAUGAUGUCUGCAUUUUUAUUAUAUAUUGCUCUUAUGAGAAGGUGGACACGGAUUUAUGACAAUUUAUCCUUAUAUAGUAUAUGAGUAAAGCCUUAAUAAUAUCUAAUAUAGAUAUCUUGCUUCCAUAAGUUGUUGUUUGUAAUUAUUCAAUUUAGAAAUAUGUAAAUCGUCAAUUUAUCCCCCUAAGGACGGAAGCAAUUCUACACGUUCUGAUAAAAAAAAAGGCAAACUCUGGAACUUAAGCUAUAUGUCUAUUUAACUGUAAUAAACCUCUUUCAUAUUAAAUGCACCCACACUUAUUAUAAAGCGCUACGGAAUAAUAAUAAUAAUAUAUCAUUUUGUUAAGGAUAAACAUGGCAUUAAUUUCAAAUAUUUGUAUAUUAAACAUAAUUUAAUAUGAACAAAAACUAAAAAAGUUUGAGAACAUAAGUAAUAUUGUUAUUUUCCAAGUUCUGCUUGGCAUUUUAAUUUUGAAUGUCAUAAUACUGUUUUAAAGCAAAAAAAUAUACAUAUUUGUGUUCAGUGAUAUAUAUAUAUAUAUAUAUACCGUGAAACCUCCAAACUCGAACUUAAUCCGUUCCAGAAGGCUGUUCGAGUUCCGAUUUGUUGGAGAACCGAAUCAAAAUUUCCCAUACGAGUUAAUGUAAAUUUGAUUAAUCCGUUCUAGAACCCCAACAUUACAGCAUUUUAAGUUUAAUAAUGCCUUACAUUCAUACAAUCACAUAGUAAAAAAAUAAUAAACACAAUGUACAGUAAAUUUAAAGAAAAUGUAACUUCACUUUACCUGUAAUAAUGAGAGUUGAUGGCGUAAGUGAAAAGGAUAAGAAAUAUUAUUGGUUGGAUAGGGAUAGGUAACUGUUCUUCUGGCAUUUAAAAUGUGUCUAUUUGGCAUGAUUUGUUCAGGUACCGAGAAUAGUUUGUGUACCGAUACAUUUUCUUCUCAAAUGUUUUGACUACCGAAUUGUUCGAGUAACGAGGUUCCAUGUAUUAUUUUUAUAUAUGUGUCUAUAUAUAUGUGUAUAUUUAUUUAUAUGUAUACAUAUAUAUAUAUAUAAAAAUCCAAAAAACCUCUGCACUCCAACUAUAAACAAAAUUAAAUACCUGGUGCUCUGGUGGCUGAAUAGUAUAUGAUAAAGUAAUACCGGCACUCAAGGGUUUCACCACAAACAAAUCUUCAUUUAUUGCGAAGUAUAGAUCGACGUUUCAGCUCCUCACAGGCUCCUGUGAGGAGCUGAAACGUCGAUCUAUACUUCGCAAUAAAUGAAGAUUUGUUUGUGGUGAAACCCUUGAGUGCCGGUAUUACUUUAUCAUAUAUAUAUAUAUAUAUAUAUAUAUAUAUAUAUAUAUAUAUAUUGUGAUAAAGUGAAGGCAGAUAGGCCUUUUAACCCCAGGGGAAGAAAGUGUAGUUUGUGUGUUGCACAACACAAAACACUGUUUAGUUAUGGGCCCCUGGGGUGGAGCAUUUGGAGAGAAGGGUGGGCCAAUGCUCCACUCCACAGUUUAGUGGUGUUCUGGGGAGACCUAGAUCCAGGCCAGGGUUUUUUGGACUGUCUCCAACCCACUGCUCAGCUGCAGGUAAUCAGCUGUUGCAGUGGGAAUAAACUCCUCCCGGCUAGGCAGGAAAAGGAGAGGGAUUGCUGGCUUCCUCCCAGGAAGCAGGUAGGAGAGAGAGGCUGUUCUCUCCAGAUAGUCAAGAAGACUGGCUUGGAGCACUGGGAGUGCAGAAAGGAAAGCAGUCAGGGCAAGGCUGGCUUGGAGCACUGGGAGUGCAGAAAGCAAAGCAGUCAGGGCAAGGCUGGCUUGGAGCACUGGGAGUGCAGAAAGGAAUGCAACAGGCUAGGCAGCAGAGUGUUGCUAACUAAUAAGGUUGGUGCAAUAUUGUGUUUAGUUUAACCCUGAGAGUUAGGGAACUAAUGUCAGUUAGUGCUCAGACGAGCUAGGUGUUUGUUUAUAGGGUUUUCUGUUACUUUUGAUUUUCAUUUACUGCUGUAUCCUGUGUGGAUAAACAAAUAAAGUGCCUGAAGUAUUUGCAACUACAAGGACUGUGCAUGUUUUUGCCCUAGAGGACCGUGCUACCUGGUGACAAGGAUCACAAUAUGGUGGAGAAUGCGGGCAAAGUAGCACAUUGAGGGUCUGUGGGUGUGCCAGUCAUUCGGUAGUCUGCUUGAGGACUCUUAUUUUGGCAGACCUGCUAAUCAAAUAAGUAGCACUGUACCUUUAAGACUAUUACCUGCUUGGUGCUAUAAUGGAGGACCUGCUGAAGGCUCUGGUACAGGCAACUGCUGUACAACAAGAGGCAACUGCUAUACAACAAAACACCAACCAUUUCCUGGCUGCACAGAUUAAGAACCUGAGGGACGCUCAGCAGGAGUAUAGAGCUGCCCUUACUGAUGUUUUGCAGAUUGCCUCCAGCAGGGUGUGUGGGGACAAGGGACCCCGUAACCAAGCUACUGACAUCCUGCAUAAGAUGACAGAGGCAGUAGAAGAAGUCUUUAGCAAGCUGAAAAGCAUGGAGGCAGCAAAGCUUGAUGUUGAGAAACACACAGAAGAGAGAGAACAAGAAAUAGAAGGCAAGAAAGAUACAAUUGAGCCUGAAAGUAGUGGAAGAAGGUGACACUGAUGACAUGCACCAAAGUAAGAAAGGAGCGCGAGGCAUACUGAUUACUGAAGUUGACAAAUGUUUAUUUGAGAACCAAAAUGUUGCAGCUUCACGUGAAAGCCUCAAACUUGCUCUAAGUGGCAUCACAACAGAUAAAGCGAUCCUGGGAAAAGAGUUGGAAACAAAAAUAUUUUCACGCUCAGAAACUGCAUCUUGCACGUUUCAAGAGAAUGCUGGAAAGACAUUUGAAAACAGAAAGGUACUGAUAAAUCUUCCCAAGGUAAUGAAAGAAGAAGAGGAGAAUGACCGGAACAGUGCCUGCAGUGUGGAAAACAAAGAUGAGACUCAAUCAUGUAACGAUGACACAGUGCCAUCUGCUACAUGUCGGGAUGUACAAGAGGCAAUCAGGCCACGGAGGUGCAAGUAUUUUGAUGCAAAUAAUGAAAUAGAAGAAGAAUCAGAGGAUGAUGAGGAUUAUGUUCCUUCAGAAGACUGGCAAAAGGAAAUAAUGGUUGGUUCCAUGUUCCAGGCAGAGAUUCCAGUUGGCAUCUGCAAGUACAAGGAAACUGAAAGAGUGUAUGAAAAUGAUGACCAGUUAUUGUGGAACCCAGAUUUUAUAGUAGAAACAAGAGUUCUAGAUUUUCUAAGUGAAGCGCCCAGAAGGACUGGUGAAGAGAAGGGAAUAGAUGCAAUUCCAGGGGGAUCACAUGUAAAAGAAAACGAAGCAGGAGCCCCUGAUGUACACCCAAGUGAACAAGUUAAAGGCAUGAAAAGCAGACUGACUUGGGGAGUCAGAGAAGACAACUGCAAAAGAGCUGAGCUUAAUAGAGAGAAGCAAAGCACCCCAGCUGAGUAUAGCAAUGCGGUGCACUGUUUAGUAGCCGAGGCUACCCAAGAUUGUCGACCAGCUGUUGAACAGUUUGGCAGAGAAAAGAAAGGCAAAGUAGCUGCUUCUGAUCUAAGCCAAGAGAGAGCGACAGUUACAGAACCAAGCUGUGGUGAUAAGAUGGGCACGUCCGCACCUAAGCCCGACCAAGGCGAAAGUUACAAAGCAGGUGACAUUGGCGCAGCUGAAUUAAAUAUUUCAAACACGUCUGGUAUUGCUACAAAGACUUUGAAGGAUUGUUUGGGAGCCAUAGAACUGGAUCUGCUGGCAAAGACUACUGCUACAAGGCCUGGGCGCACUAACUACCUGGAACAGCUGCCAGACUCUGGGAACACAGUCGUGGAAUUAAAGGCGGGACUCGGACUGCCUGACCGGCUGUUUGAUACCGGGGCUGUCAUGAUCCAGCGAGAGGCCAUGACUGCGUCUCUGGACACCCCCAAGGGAACAGGGAGACUGCCAGACAGCCCAGAGGAAAGCAUUUCUGACACUGAGAGGUGGCCACUCAAGGCCGAACAAGUGGAGGAUACCCCUGGGGAGGAAACCAGGAAAAGGAGAGAUGAACUAAGCCAGGAGUCUGGGCCUCAGGUAGAACAGCGCUCCAUGCCAAGCCAGGCCGAGCAUGAUAGGAUGGAGCUGGGAUCAAGGGCUGCAUUCAUGCAGGAGGAGGGUGCUCUAGACAGCCUCCUUGGCCAACCCCCUGAGGAUAUAGAGAUGAGACCUGUAGCAUUAGCCGUAGGGAGCUAUGAAGGCUCCCAGGAAUUCGCAGAACUGAUGAUGGAUGAGCUGGUGACAGAACCAGGUCUUGAAGAGUUUGAGCACCCAGAAAAUUUAGCUCAUGAAGGAAUCGGACGUAUAAGUGAUAUAGAAAAGUUAAUUACACGCAAAGCCUUUGUAAAGUUUGCAUUUGAAAGUAACUCGGACAUUGAGAGACUAUCAAACCUGAUACUGAGCCUGGGACAAUAUAACUAUGCUGGCAGAACGUACCCAAAAGUCCCAUUAUGGCUACGAGACCAGACUGAGAAAAACCUCCGAUGCUUCAACUACCACAUACAAGGACAUAUUGCAUAUAACUGUCCUGAGACUGAAGAGCCAAUACAAUGUGACAUAGGAAUAAGGGCUCUGCAUAGGAUAGUAUUGCCUUGCUUAAAGAUGUGUAUGGUGACUGGUGGUGGUGUUACAGCACAGCUAAAAGUGGUGAUGGUGGUAGAGAAGAGUGCACAAACAUUGAUAGAUUCAAGGAGUGAGGUUACUUUGAAAAGUGUUCUGCUCCAGCCAGAAAAAUGUGAUUUAAGACAAGUGUUUGAUAAUGUGGGUACACAUGGUGACACCCGCACAUACCCCAUGGCAGAGGUAGAGUUUGCCACAGAGGUAGUAAAAGUUAAAUGCCCUGUAGUACAUGUAGCUCAAACACAAGAGCGUAUAGGUAAGGCCAGGUUUCUGAGUACCUUGGACCUGGUCAUAAGGUAUUGGCAGGUUCCCCUGACAGAGACAGCAAAGGGAAGGACAGCGUUUUCUACUCCCAAGGGGUUAUGGCAACAUAAAGUACUGCCAUUCAGGUGGCAUAGUGCACCAGCCCCCUUUCAGCAUAUGAAUAAGAUACUUUGGCCCCACGGAGAGAAUGCCGCUGCCUACCUUGGUGAUGUGGCGAUUCACAGAGUGGACUUGGAAGCACACCUGAUGAAGGUCCAGUUAGUUGUGAAUAAUGUAAGGGCUGUUGGUCUGACCGCUAACACUAAGUGUUAUCUAGGAUUUGAGGCAGCUAACUAUUUGGGUUGUCCGCUUGGGUGGGGAUUCCUUAAACUACAAGGGAGCAAGGUAGCAGCCAUCUACAAUAGGCCACAUUCUGUAACUGAGGAGCAAGUCAGGGCUGGUACAGCCCCAGGUGACGUGAACAUUCGUGGUUUGUGUUCUAAGGUCGCUCGACCCGAUGGGUCUGAGCUGGGGGGGAGGAUAUGUGAUAAAGUGAAGGCAGAUAGGCCUUUUAACCCCAGGGGAAGAAAGUGUAGUUUGUGUGUUGCACAACACAAAACACUGUUUAGUUAUGGGCCCCUGGGGUGGAGCAUUUGGAGAGAAGGGUGGGCCAAUGCUCCACUCCACAGUUUAGUGGUGUUCUGGGGAGACCUAGAUCCAGGCCAGGGUUUUUUGGACUGUCUCCAACCCACUGCUCAGCUGCAGGUAAUCAGCUGUUGCAGUGGGAAUAAACUCCUCCCGGCUAGGCAGGAAAAGGAGAGGGAUUGCUGGCUUCCUCCCAGGAAGCAGGUAGGAGAGAGAGGCUGUUCUCUCCAGAUAGUCAAGAAGACUGGCUUGGAGCACUGGGAGUGCAGAAAGGAAAGCAGUCAGGGCAAGGCUGGCUUGGAGCACUGGGAGUGCAGAAAGCAAAGCAGUCAGGGCAAGGCUGGCUUGGAGCACUGGGAGUGCAGAAAGGAAUGCAACAGGCUAGGCAGCAGAGUGUUGCUAACUAAUAAGGUUGGUGCAAUAUUGUGUUUAGUUUAACCCUGAGAGUUAGGGAACUAAUGUCAGUUAGUGCUCAGACGAGCUAGGUGUUUGUUUAUAGGGUUUUCUGUUACUUUUGAUUUUCAUUUACUGCUGUAUCCUGUGUGGAUAAACAAAUAAAGUGCCUGAAGUAUUUGCAACUACAAGGACUGUGCAUGUUUUUGCCCUAGAGGACCGUGCUACCUGGUGACAAGGAUCACAAUAUAUAUAUAUAUAGAAUUUUAUACUCGUAUUUUGAAUAUAUAUAUAUAUAUAUAUAUAUAUAUCCAACAUCGGCUUGGCACUCACAUUCCUUUCCUGUUCUUGCCUCGGUGUUAUUUAGUGCCCCAAUACAACAUCCCAGAGAAAAGCACUCAGAGGGCUUGUAGUCUGUGCAAUAUAUCCUUUAUUUGUGCAAAGGUACUUUGGACUUUUUUUUGGUUUUGAAGUCGGGCCAAAACGUUGACCAUACCUUGCACAAAUAAAGGAUAUAUUGCACAAGACUACAAGCCCUCUGAGUGCUUUUCUCUGGGACGUUGUAUUGGGGGCACUAAAUCCUUCUGGGAUGUUGAGAAUAUAUAUAUAUAUAUAUAUAUAUAUAUUUUUUAUCUGGCAUAAUGGGGUUGCAUAUUAUUAUUUUAUAUUAUAUAUAUUAACACCAUUAUAUAACAUCAUUAUGGGUUUAUGGCAGAUGAUAUAAAUAUCAUCAGCCAUAUAUAUACACAGUAGAUAUAUACUUGAUAAUAUCAAUUCUGCACUCAGGCUCCAACACUCCACAAGCUUCAAAAGUUAAAUGCUUGGUGCCAGACAAGUAGUUACAUGCAUGUAUAGAAAAAUAAAGUACUGUAGUCUGCACUUACGGUUUUUAGAAUAAAACUUAGCGUUUAUUUCCUAUUGGUUAAAAUGUGCACAAAGUGAAGUGCAUAAUGUGAAACAAAAAGUCAAUGUUUUUUAAACUUUAUUUAAACAUUUCCAUCUCUGGGGGACUGUUUGACAACUCAGACUGUGCCCCAGCAGGUAGAUCGGAAGCCAAUUAUUGUGGCCAUCAUGAUCACAUGUUCCGGGAGUGCCAGACUGGAUGCAGGGGGACUGCCUGGCUUGUCAGGCAGUCCCCCCCACAACCAGGAUCAGCAUGAAUUGCAGCCGUAGGUAAGUUUCUCUGGCCUGGGGGUUGCAAACUGUUAGGGAAUUCCAUGUCGUCCUAAGGUUGUUUAAGCUGGCUUUGCUCUAACAACGUUUAUGGGUUAAAGUCCUAGUUCGUUAAAAGUCACACAUUUCUGUCUUGGAGGAACACCUUAAGAACCUAAAGCAGUUCAGCUAAUUUAUCUACUUUGCAGGCUUAUUUCAAGAAAUCUACACUUUUGUUAAACAUUGUUGUUGCACCUUCCAGGCUGUCAACCAGACAACCAGGAGGAUUUCCGGUCUUACUCACCUUGAAUCAUGAAUGUAUAACUGAUAGGGAGUAUUGAUCUUGGCAGCCACACUGACCAGUGCUAUAGCUCAUUGAGAAGUGCAGGAAUGGCCAGUUGCAUUCAUGGGGAAGUUGCUGGCUGUGUAAUGGAGUAUAUUAAAUCAUAUGCAUGUGAAUAAAAUCUUUAAGCUAUAGAUAUGAGACUUUGCCAUAAUGGCUUAAGAAAACAACUUCUAAUAAAACCAGAAAACCUGUCUCGUAUCAAGUCCACUUGAUCAGGGUGAACAAGUUUGCAACAUUUUGGAGUAUAAUUUCAUAUCAACAUUAGAAAAGAUAAUUGGGUAAAGUGCAAAACGUGGUUUCUUUCUUCCUUCUUUAGAUAGACUGUGUCCAUCUUGAAAUGAAUUAGGAGAGUAGAGCAAAUGUUCGACUUGUAAUAUCUGAUUGCAGAACAUGUGUCUAGGCCUACAGAUUUUUAUUCAGUGACACUUUUUCUCAAGCUACAGUUUAUUCAGUGACAUUUGCAACUUAAUUGCAUUGUCAGAUAUAUAAGACGAUAAAAUAUGUACACAUUUUUUUUUUACAAACAUUUUCUUUUAGAAGCUUUGUUUCAAUGGCAGCAUUGACAAUGAGUAGCUCAUCUACCUCAAUAGCACAUAAAUUUAACAAAAGCAUCUUUAUAUCUAAAUAGAUUAAAAGCCCAAAAAAGGUAAUGAGGCAAAGUCGCCAUUUCAACAUAACAGUAAGUAAAGAAUACAUCUUCUGUUGUUAAAUUUCUCCAUAGCAAUAUUUGUCACAAACUCCACCACUUUCAAAACAUUUCAAAAUGUGUUAUAAACUUACAUAUGCCGGCAAACACAUAAAAAGAGAGAAUGGACAGAAAAUCCUAAUACUCACUGGGCUAGUGAAAUACUAGUUCAGAUGCUUCGGAUCUCUUCUUAAUCAGGCCAGAUCGUCCCAGUAAAUAUAAACAAUUAAUUUAAGACCAAACAUUUUAUGAAUAUAGCCCCAAAACUAAAAUAGUAUCUAAAAGUUUCUUCCAAACUUUAAGUGAAUGACCCUUCACUUGAUUACAAAUUUAUCUGCACUAUUUGGUUUACAAACAGGAUAAUAAAACAUGCUUUAAUUGCUGUACCAUUUUAUGGUAUUUUCCAAUCACCAACACGAUUGCUUCUCAGAAACAGUUCGCCUCAUAGAUCAUAGUUAUAUCACUUCAAUUGUGAACACAUUAGUUAACCAUAUUUUGACAAUGAAACAAUGAAUACACAGCAAAUUAAUUAACAGUAUUUUUACAUUGUCAGUGCAUAAUAGCCAACCAAAACAAAGUGUUGCAUAGCAAUCUUAAUUAGAAUACAACAAAAGGAACACAUCUAUUUAGAAACGGAUUCAAAAAUGUUCCUGCUAAACUGGGCAUCAGUAACAUCGCCCAUAUGUAGACAAGAAUGCUUCAGAAGCAUAUUCAAAGAAUACAGGAAGGGGCUUUGCAAAGAAAACCAGUCUUACAGUAUUCUGCAAACAAAAGCAAAAAGAAGAUUUUGCACACACAAAUUCCCAAAACAAUGAAUGCUGGAUAUUCUUUUUGCUUUUGUUGAUAAUCUUCUGGGUUAUAAGCUUUUCCGUGUGCACCAUGUGAAACAUAUCCCUGCCCAUUUGAUGAGUGGCGAAAGCUACAGUCAGAAUCGAGUGUGCCUUAAGGAGACGCUUCAUAUCGUUGAAGUAAUUAUCGUGUUGAGUACACUGACAAAACUGUUACAAUGAUCUUUGAAACUGUACCUAAAUUACGUAAACUACAAAAUCAACAACUGUGUAUCAGAACAAAUUUAAAAAGCACACUGACAGCAGUCUGUUGCUAGACCCCAAUCUAUCCUUUGGCCUUCACACUGAAAAAUUCUCUUCAAAACUUUACCCAAAACUAGGUGCCCUGUACAGAAACAAAUCCUGUCUAAGCCCUACAGUAAAGAAACAGUGCAACAAAUGCUAAUGCCGGUCAUUGAUUAUGGGGAUGUAGUGUAUGCACCCACACUACAAACCCACCUUAAUAAACUUAAUACGUUAUAUAAUUAGUUCCGCCGCUUUGUUCUGGAAUGUAAUUAUUUUACCCACCACUGUGACAUGUUAAAAGAGCUAAACCGGUUGUCGCAAGAAUCCCAAAGCACUCUUCAUCUUUCCAGCCUUGUGCAUAAGAGCAUUUCUGGGAAGCUCCCACCCUACCUGAGUAGAAUGCUCUCCCCAGCUGUUACCACCUUCUAUAACCUCCGAUUUAGUACUGGCACAAUAUUUAGCAUACCGCAAUACUAAAAUAAAGUGGCUCGAUCCUCCUUUUCUAACAGAGCACUGCAAUUAUGGAAUAACCCCAGUGACACAAUCAAAUCAUCAUUCAAUCUAAAAUCUUUUAAGAGAUCGAUGGCAAUAUACCUCAGCACAGAAUGCACCUGUCAUUGUUGAAUAUAUUUAUUACCUGUUAUGUGGUACAUAUAUAUAUAUAGUUUGUAUAUUGUAUUUUUGUAAUAUUGUAUCCUAUUGUAACAAUGUAAUGUUUUGUGGACCCAGGACAUAUACUUGAAAACAAGAGAAGUCUCAAUGUAUCCUUUCUGGUAAAACAUUUUAUAAAUAAAUUUUUAAAAAUUCAUAAUUCAACCAUUUUAAUAUUUUAAUGCUAAUUGAAUGCCUUCAGCAGUCCAUUACCUCUGUUCUGCUAGGGAUAAUGAGGAAGAAAGAGCCUGAACAAGAUUGAACAGCUGUUAUUGGCUGAGUGAUUGCUCCUAUGAAUUGAUAUGCCUAGAAGGAAGUGUGUAAUCUCUGCCUUCUCCAUACCUCCACGUAAGGGCUAGGCUGUGGGUGGCCAUGGUGAAUCACUUGAAAAUGGUUUAGCACUAUAUGGAGGGACAGUGCCAGAAAACUCAGAGCAUUAUAACCAAUUCAAUUAGAUUGUAUAGUUACAGUGCCUACAGGUGCCUAUGGUUACAGGCCAACAGUUAAGGCAAGCCUAUUCUAGACUUGGCUCAAAAUGCUGAAACAAGGGAGGGUGUCAGAACCAAUUGAUGUGAAGGAGGAACAAUAUACUCAAAUGAAUCACAAAAAGAAAGAUGUUCACCGGGGCAAAUGUAUCACAUUUGAGAGGAAAGAAAAGGAAAGGCAAAAAUCUGCAAAAUGUCUUGUACUUCGUAAUUUUUCUGUCCUUUUAGAUGAGAGAGGAGAAGCUACCCAUAGUUAAUGUAGCAAGAAAAAAAACAUCUUUGUACAGACAUAUAUUGCUGUAUAAUGGUGUUAUAUUGAUUUAUAUUACACAUUCAUUUAUACCUUGUCAACUUUGCGUAAAGAAAAUCAUAAUCAAAAUAAAUAUGACAUGACAAAAGACAGAGAAGACCAGAUGCGAAAAGCUGUACAGACCGCAUUCAGUAGGCAUGUGCAUGGGGAAAAUAUUCGGCUUGGUUCAGCAUUCCGAAAUUCGGAACUUCAUCAAUUCGGAACUUCGCCAACUUCGCAACUUAGACACUUUGGAACUUUGGCAUUUCGGGACUUUUCUUGCAGCCGCUUGGUAGAUAGCUCCCUAAUUCCCACGGUAUUAGGGAGUUAUCUACCAAAAAGGCUGAAAGACCUAAAUUGGUCUUUCAGCCAAAUUUACUAAUACUAAGUAAAGAUUACUUAGUAUUAGUAAAUUUUGCCCCUACUCACGGCAUGUCUAGUAAACAGUGAGCAGCCAGUGAACUGUGAACAAGCAGCAGUAUACAAAAUAAGGAUUCCCAAAAAACUUGUGGAUAGAUAAGAGAAAAAAGAGAGCGUAUACCGCGCAAAUAAUUUAUAUAAAUACAAGAUGUACGUACAUAUAUUCACAGGUAUUUCCGAUAAAUCGACAACCUCAGAAUAAAAUAGAAUAAAAAAUAAUAGUGCAAUACAGUAAAAUUAUAUCGUGAAGUGGUGAAUAUAACUAUACACAAUCCACUCACAUUUAUAUGAGCUAUAACAGAGCUCAACUGUGAUGCGCUUGGACGGUACGAUCCCCGUCUCAGGAUAUGUUGUUCUAGUUGACUAGGGUAUUUCAAAGUGCAAUAUGCGUGGUAAAAAGAAAUAGCAGCCAAUGGUGAAGUAAGUACUUAUGAUGAGAUAAAUAAUAAAUAGUAAUGUACUUACAAUUUAUAGAGCAUAAAACUUUCUCUAGUAUGAACAGCCUGGGUGGUAUAAUCCCCACCAGGGAUAUGCAGGAUCCAGGAAGUAACAAAAAGAGUGAAUAUAAAAAGUAUCUAUUAAAAGUAUACUUUAAUAUAAACAAACAUAGUAUAAAACAUAAAAAGUAUAAAGGAGAGUCCCACUUAACGCGUUUCGCCUGAUAAGGCUUCUUUAGAAGUGGUAACAAGGAAAAAGAGAAAGACAGCGCUAGAUAACUUAUAGGCAGCAACCUUUUAAAGGGGAUCCCUCAAACCCUUUAAUUUGGAUAAAAUAAGAAAAAAGAAGAAAAAAGGCUGCGCACACAGAUAAAAUUGGAAAAAAUAAAAAAGUUAUUUUUAAAUAAAAUAAAGUCCAAUUAGAAAGAAGGAAAAGUCCAAUGUUAUUGUCCUUACAGAUAGUCUUUGCUGUUGACGUCUUCUACUUUGUAGUGAGUCCACUUAUAUGAAAGAUAAAAAGAGAGAGGGGGACAACCAAUAGUGUAGUAUGUAGAGUUCUAAUAUGGAUGUGUAGAAAUAAUAAUAUAAAACUCACAUUUAUCAGAGCUAAUGUCCUAGCUCUGGAAUAAAGCGCAUACGGCGGUUUGAUCCCCGCUUAUGGGAUAUAGAUGGGUUCCUCUCUGUGAUACGUGUCCAGUUUCUCGAAAUAAAAGAGACAGCCAAUAGUGCUCACUGUAUAGCAAUAUUGAUAAAAAUAAUAAAAGAAUGUACUUACAAAACCAGAGCAGACCAACUGCUCCGUGAUGACAGCUUGGGUGGAUUGAUCCCCACCUUGGAUUUCUUUAAAUGCAGGAAACUUCCAGGGGUUUUCAGGUUUUUUUUAUAAAAACCAAUAAAAAUAAUAAUUCUUUAGAAGUGCCCUUGUAUAGAACCAAACACAGGCGAUGUUCGGGAGUUUCUGUGUCCAAUUUUAGUUCCAUGAGAUUCAUGCCCAAACACCGCUGCCUGCGUUCAUGCGAACAAGAUGGCCACCACCUCGUGGUUGUCCAUAGGAAUUGCGGCCACCCAGACGAACAAUUAGAACACUGCGGUGAGAAACGUUCCAAGUUGUUAAUAGGUGUUAACAAGCUCCAGGAUAGUCUCUGGUCCGUGCGGUUGUUCGUUAACUGAACCAUAUAAUCCCAAUUGUAUGAAUAGAGACUUUUUAAUGUAUUUUAGCCAGGUCUAUUCAGGGGCCAUAGUCCUGGGGCAAGAGGCUGGUCAGAAGGCCCCUCCAAGAACCAGUGUCAAGGUUCUGUGUAACAAGUAGAUACUGUAUAAUAUACCAAAAAAAGGCCAGAAAUGGUAAUGCUAAACACCCAAAAGUGUACCUCACAUACACCAAAUCACAAUAUAAUACAAAUAGGAAAAAUAUACCACACCAAUAAACAGUGAUAGUAUAAAUUAAAGGGGUAGCACACCAAAAAUACAAAACAUACAACCUGUAUGUAAUACAGAGCAGUUCUUGAGAAAUCUAAAAAUUGGAAAGAAUUGUACAAUAGUGAAGUAUGUAAAGAACACCAAGGUCAAUCCCGGAGGUAGAGAACUUACAGACAAUAUAGAUGAUCUGCGCUUAUCUCCCUCUUUAUUAUAGGGUAUCUCAGGGCAGCACUGUGAUUCUUGUCGUAGAGGAUUUUGAUAUUGAUCAAAAUAUAUACAAUUGAACUCCCAUCCUCAAAGUAAGAAUAUGUAUAUAGAGUAGUAUUGUAAAACCAUCUUACAUAUUAGCUACGGUGGAUGUUACCUCUCUGUACGCCAAUAUCCCAUCAAAAAGGGUUUGGAGGUUAUCAGAGAUGUAUUAAUCCAACAACACACUUUAAAUUCUGGACAAAUAGAUUUUUUGGUUUCGUGUAUUGAUUUUGUUUUAACCAAGAAUUUUUUUUGGUUUGAUUCCAAUUUUUAUUUACAACAAUGUGGCGUCGCCAUGGGGACGAGGUUCGCCCCCAGUUUUGCAAAUCUGUAUGUGUCCCAUUGGGAGGCCUCUUGCUUCCAUUUGGGACCAUACCUGGGGGGGAGCCUCGUCCUCUGGCGACGAUACAUAGAUGAUGUUCUUAUAGUUUGGGAAGGAGACAUUCAAGGGUUAGAAAAAUUUAUUGAAACUUUAAAUCUAAACCAAUACAAUUUGCAUUUCACUUCUAAUAUUCAUCCGACUACCAUAGACUUUUUGGUUUUAACCUUAUAUGUAGAAAAUUAGAUUCUGAAUACUAAGACCUUUUUUAAAAAAACAGAUUGUAACACGGCCAUAAAAAAGACCAGUUUACAUCAUCCUACAUGGUUGAACAAUGUCCCUAAGGGACAAAUAACCCGAAUGAGGAGAAAUUGUUCUAGCACACAGAUGUUUGAAGAACAAUCGAAAAUUAUAAAAAAUAGAUAUAUAGAAAAGGGUUACAAUGUAGAAAAAAUUAAAAGUGAUAUUUCAAAAAUUAAAAACAAGAACCGUUCAGAAUUUCUAAUAAAUAAAGACAAUAGAUGUAACAAUAAAGAUAGUAAUAGACACACAGAGUUUGCUUUUAUUACUAAAUAUAGUUUUUAGGCUAAAAAAAAAAUCAAAAAAAUUCUAAAAAAACAUUGGGCAAUUCUGAAAAAAGAUGAAAUUUUGGGAGAAAAGUUACCUGAAAAACCGGUGGUCAUAUACAGAAAAGCAGACAAUUUAAAAAACCAAUUGGCACCGAGUCUUUUACCAAACCAACUUCUUCUACAAAAUAAUUUUUUACAGCUAAAAAGAACCCCGGGUUUUCAUAAAUGUGGGGCCUGCUCUACUUGUACUCACCAAAAAAGAAAAACGGUGUCUUUUAUGCGGUCUAAUACAAAAGAAACAUACAAUAUUAAGAAGUUUAUACACUGUACGUCAACAUUUGUAAUCUAUCUGUUACAGUGUGGAUGUGGUGCCCAGUAUGUGGGACGAACCACUAGAAAUCUACAUAUCAGACUCCGAGAACAUUUCAACAAUAUUAGGACAAAUAAAGUGGAUCAUAGUGUUUCCAAUCAUUGUAAGACCUGUAGUAUGUUUAAUUGGUCCACUUUUAUUGCCAUUGGUAUUGAUCAGGUUGCUAUGAAUUGGAGAGGGGGAAGUAGAAUUAAUGAUUUAGCUAAAAAAGAAGCCUUUUGGAUUUAUACUCUUAAGACCUUAAAGACAGGUCUUAAUCAGGAAAUUGAUUUAAUAGGACUUCUUUGAUUUCUUGUUUAGUUGUUAUUGUUUUUGUUUUCUCCCCCUCUCAUCUCUUAUUAACUUGAUCAUAUAUAUAUAUAUAUAUAUAUAUUUUUUCUGUAUAUGUAUCAAUAUCUGUGUAUUACACAAGGUCAUUUUUAUAUGGUUUCUGCAUUCACUUAUUAUAUAUACAUUUUUUAUUACAGCCUAGUUUUUUAUGUAUGAGAAGGGUUCUCCCUUCGUUUCUUCUUUUCUGGUUGUUGUGUUUUUUCCUAUAGCUGUAGUGCGUUCCAUGCUGGAACGCGAAAUAGAUUCAUCCAGAGCCUUUGACGAUAUGCGUUCCACGGUGGAACGCGGAAACAUUUAAUGCCCGCAAACAUGGACGUGAUCGUCAUCACGUUCGUCCAAUCGGAUUGGAAGUUCAGACGAAAUGCGGAAGUACUGAUCUUUUGGCGCCAAUUUUUCGAAAAACUGUCUGGAACAUAUAAAAAGAAGUUCUUUCGAAGUUCUGCUGUAUAUCCCGGAGGAAGUCGUAAAGAUGAAACGCGUUGGAUUUUUAUCUGGGACAUUUUUAUCCUAGGUUUCAUUAUUUGUAUUUUUAUAGUUGUUUUAUUUAUAUUUUUGCUGCUAUACUUUUUUUUUUUAUUAUUGUUCGAGUUGAACCUUCUAUGGUUUGGUACCAUCUGUUGGAUGGAGAUAUGCUGACCUAAAACCAGUUUUAUGUAAGUGCAAUCAGUACCACAAUACUUCUCUAUAUACAUAUUCUUUCUUUGAGGAUGGGAGUUCCCUUAUAUAUAUUUUGAUUAAUAUCAAAAUCCUCUACGACAAGAAUCACAGUGCUGCCCUGAGAUACCCUAUAAUAAAGAGGGAGAUAAGCGCAGAUCAUCUAUAUUGUCUGUAAGUUCUCUACCUCCGGGACUGACCUUGGUGUUCUUUACAGCCUUGACAACUAUUGUACAAUUCUUUCCAAUUUUUAGAUUUCUCAGGAACUGCUCUGUAUUACAUACAGGUUGUAUGUUUUGUAUUUUUGGUGUGCUACCCCUUUAUUUUAUACUACCACUGUUUAUUGGUGCAGUGUCAAGGUUCUGUUCGCCACACAUAUAUAUUUAUUGUGAGAUGCCUGACAGCCCAUCUCCACAGACAGCUAUUGCGGCCAUUUGAGAGUGAUCACAUGGCCCAUGGGGACCUGAUUCAUAGGAUUGGACUGCCUGGGCUGUCAGGCAGUUACCUAGAAGCAGAUCGCAACAGAGGUAAGUACGCCGGAGCUCCAGGAGCAAGCAGUUAUGGUAUGCCAUAAUGGCGUUUAUGGGUUAAUUUCUACUAGCAUUUAAAAACCUUUGAGGUUAAAAGAUAUAAAAAAAAAUUUUUAAAGCAAGGACAUAUAGAAUUUUAUAUAGCUUAGUCAUUUUGUAGUGAUUAAACAAAAGAAGGUGGUGGAAGCAGGCUAGAUCAAGAGCUGUCUAUUCACCACUACUAAAAUCACUAAAAUGUGUGAGUAUGGCAUCGUGAGUCCAAUAGGGCUGUCCAAAAGUAAGCAAUCAAAUCGUUUUAUCUUUGGAGAGCUGAAUAGUUGAACUGUAUUUGCAAGACUCUUAACUGUGAAGUCACACUUUUUUGAUGUAAACAUCUUCUGUAUAGCCUGUAAUAAUUCACUUUCAUUUUAUUGCACACUAAGAUUCUUGUUCUGUCUCUUUUUAUACUAGCUAUGUUUAUAAGGCAAAAUUAUCCAAGCUCUAAAUAGGCUGAGGAUUACCAUAUCUCAAGGUGCAUAUGGUGAGCUUAUGAAGAGAUCUAAAGAUUGUUCACAGUGUAUUUGUUCAGAAUGUGCAGACAUUGCAUUUAAUUAUUGUUUCAAUUCUAUUUACGCGCAGAACCUGUGUUUGCUCUAUUCUUCCUGCACUGACUUACACAGGGUAAAAUCCCUUGACAGGGCACUUUUAUUGCAAUAAUUCAUAACAUUUUUAGUGCUUCAUGAAGUCCAAUCAUCUCCAAAGGAGCCAGAACCAUAACUGAGGAAGGCAACAUGGAAAAACCAGAAGACGGAAUAGUCUGCAAGAUGUUCUGAGAUUGGGUCUCUUUCUCCAGUUGGGGAGAAGCAAUCACCCACAACUGUUUAAAGAAGUAAUCCAUGUGGAACAUGACCAUAUUAAGACGCAAAAUAAAUUCCAAAAAGAAGAGUGUAGGUAUGAAGAAUGGGGUAGUCAUGAAAUAGAUGCCAUCUGUAAAGAAUUACGUUUUAAGCCAUGAGAGGAGAGGAGGUCAGACUGAGGCUCGUUAUGGAGGGUGAUAAAAAGGAAAUGAAGGAAUGAAAUAAAGAGAAAAUGUUAAAAUAUUGAACAGAUUAUGUUCUGUUCAAUAUUCUAGCCCUUUCUCUUUAUUUUAUUUCAAUUAUUUUAUUUCAAUCAUGACUAGGAUUUUUUUUCCCCCAGGAGACAUGACAAUUUUUAAAGAGAAGUUCAAUGGGAUCCAAUAGUUUAUAUACUAUUGAAAAAUGUUUAAAUUAUAUUUCCACAGAGGAAAGGGGCCCGGUUGUGCUACAAGGACAGAUGGAAGACAGACCUUGGGGAUAGUGAAAAAUUAAAGAGCAUACGGCAGUCUGCAGCUAAAGCUUCCGUUAGUACAAAUUUCUAAAGAAGAGGCAUGUUAGCUUCUUUUUAGGUAUUAUGUCAUUCAUUUUAGGAUUUACCAUAUGGUUUAAACUACUACAGAUCUGUGUUAGGAUAAAUGUGUCUAUAAUGGGACAUAUUUUCAUAUGUGGUGGAAUUGGCCAAAAGUCAAGCAUCUCUGGUAGAGUAUAACAAAUUGUUUCUGAGGUUUUCAUGAGACAUAUAGGUGUAUGUCAUUUGUCUUUUAUUCUGUCAAAAAUGUGAAAGAAUUCAAAUAUGCUGAACAUAUGCUUUUCACCAAAAUUACCCUUGCAGCUAAGCAAAGAAAAGCAGACGUUUGAAUGAAAAACACCCUACCUCGACUAAAAAGUGUGAUUAGCACUAACCUCUGGUCCAAUUCCGGGUCCCAUUAUCAAAAGGGUAAUAGAUAGAUCUAAUUUUCCUUUAUUUACUCUUUCCCCCAGAAGGACUAUUUUUUUCCACUUCCUUCUUUCGCUAUUCAACAACCAAGGUUGCCCUUGACAACUUACGGCUGUAGCCCACUGCCAUUCCACUGGUAUGUUGCUUAUUUAAAAAAUUGUUGGACUUCUAAGUCAUACAUUGUAUAAACUUGUUAUCAGUUGUAACACGGUCAAUGGAAAAUAAAGAAUUUAAAAACUAUACAUCAAAAAUAGAUACAAUAAAGAAAUAUUUAUUCUAAACCUAGAAGAUGAUAUAAUAAUUUGUUUGCAGUUUACCGGCAUUUUUGAAAGAUGAUUUAGUGGCCAAGGAUGAAUUAGAUAAGUCUAUUUACCUUAAACAAAGAAACACAAUGCCACAUCCAUCAUUGCAAUUACAUCUAGCCAGUGGCGGCUCUAAACUUUGUGAGCCCUUUUGCGAAACUGAAACAUGAGGCCCACACUAACACCCAAAGUGAAAAAAAUUAGGGGUUGCAUUGUGCUGCUAUGUUGUGAGCUCCUCUGACUGUAGUUAUGGUAUAAUUUGCAAACUAAAUACAUUUGCAAUAAACACAUUUAAUUGGCAAUUAUGCUAAUUGUUUAUACACAAUUGCGAGGUAUUGUUACUUCUUGGCAAUCUUGUAUACAUCAGUGUCGGUGUGAAGGGAUUGUUGAAGUUAGGUUGAGUAUAAACGCAUCUAAAAAAAUAAUUUCCAAAAUAAUAAAGUUAAAGAUAAGAAAACAGUUGCAUAGAUAUUUUCUCCACAUAUUCCAUAAUACUUUCACUUUACAUUAUCCUAUAUAAUAUACAUACGUGUUUCCCCGUGUAUUGUAUAUGUAUGUAUAUUACAUAUAAAGAAAUCCAAACUUUUCCAUAACAACCUUAAGUCCAAUACCCGGUGCCCAGCAACAAAACAGAUAUCUUUCAACAGAAAUACCAGCACUCUAGACUUUUCCAAAACUUCAUUCUUUAAUUGAAAAAAUCCAUGUCAACGUUUCAGUUCUCGAACAGAACUUUCAUCAGGACAUAUAAGUCCUGAUGAAAGUUCCAUACAGGAACUGAAACAUUGACUUGGUUUUUUUUUUCAGUAAAAGAAAGAAAGUUUGGAAAAGCCUAUAUUGCCGGUAUUUCUGUUUAACGAUAUAUAUAUAUUAGAUGUUAGCACUUUACCUUUGCAUUGCCCAUACCAUACCACCCUCACAUUACAGUCAUAGACACAUAAAAACACUCUCUGAUACACGCAUAUGCAUACACACACAAACUCACUGAUGCAGAGAGACACACAUUGACAAAUACAAAAAAAAAUCAUAAUGUGUAUCUGGCUAUGUGUAUUUAUGAGAAUCUGGCAUUGUCUACCUGUGUAUGUGCUUGACAGUGUGUGUGACAGGCAGCAUCCUUGUGUGUGAAUGUAUAUUUUUGUUACUAUGUGUAUAUUUGUGUCUGUGACCGAAUGGGUGUGGGAUAGUUGCUUGCGGUGUGUUGUUUAUGAUGGCUGCCUAUAACUUUGUGCAUUGUAUAUAUGGCAAAGGUACAUUUUAUGAUGUAUGUCGUGUAUGAUGAAUGUCUUCAGUAGGUGACAGAGUGAGUAUAUGUGUAACUGUGUACAAUGUGAAAACAUAGCAUUCACAUUGUAUAUUUUCUCUCCGCCACUCUGAUGAGUUCUUGCAUCAGUGGUAUGGCCAUUAAGAGUACAUAAAGAAAGGAGUGUGUGUAUAUCUGUGUUUUCACAUACGUUUCCUGGCUAGACAUUAAUAUUCACAGUAUUUUCAUUUUGUAACACAAAGUAUAGCGAAACAACCGAGUAAUAACAUGACAAACGGAAACAUAAAAUAAACAAAAACUAGUGGACCUUAAUACAAUAUAUCAAUUUCUCUUCUCACUUGACUGUGCUCUUGUGAUCUACUUUUUUUUUAUUCUCUAAAACAACCUCAUAUCCCAUACUGUGAGUUUAGGAGUGGUAAGUUAACAUGUAAUCCAUCCAUAUCUGGGUGGACCCCUCUGCUGCUUUCCCCAUAUUUAGCAGUUUGGAAGCCAUUAGUUCGUACUCUAAGUUUGUGGACACCUGGGUCAGUUAUUCGUUUGUAGAUUGCACCUUCCCCGACUUCCAUUUCUUUGCCAUUAAAAUGGCAGCAACCAUCAAAAUGAGGUACAUAAGCUUACUUACUGGUUUAGGUAAAUCAUCUGGGAAAAUAUACAGUAGGUAUAACUCUAUGGAUGGUUGUAUAGUGAUGUGUGUAAUAACAGUAACUUUGUUUACUUGCUUCCAAAAUGUAACAAUGUGUGGGCAGUGUAGUACCCCUUUCUUUGUUAUAUCUCUAGCACAUACUAUCAACAUAAGUGUACAUUUUGGCAAGUUUGUAUGGAGUAAGGUGCCAUCUGUAUAAAAGUUUAUAGGUUAUCUCUGCAUGAGAUGCACAAGACGAUAGACCCUUGGUAAAGGAAAAUGCCCUAGACCAUGUAUCGGGGGAUAGAUCUUUUCCUAAGUCUUUAUGCCCCUUUUUAUGAAAAUUCCAUAAGGGGAUGUCUAUAGUAUUUAUGAGUGUGUUGUAACAGAGAGAGUAGUUUAUGUGGUUUCCGGUCUCAAAAGUGGACAUAUCGGUUUCUUUUACUAUUUGGUGUCUGGUGUCGUCAAGACCUUUUAGAGCAUGUCUGAGUUGAAGGUAUAAGAAAUAGUUCGAUGGAGGUAUGCGAUAUGUUUGUUGGAGAACCUGGAAGGUUUUCAGUGUAUGGUUGCUUGUAAUGUGGUGGAGAUGUGUUAUUUUAUGAUAUGACCCAAUGGGAAACGUUGGGAUGAGUAUUUUUAUUGAUCUCAGCAGAGUCACUGGUGACCAUACGUGAGAGGAUCGAAUUCUGUGUCUUACAGUGUCCCAACAAGAGAACAACAAACUUGUAAGUGGGAGGGUCAAGGGCGGGAGUGUGCGGUUAGAUUUUGGUACCCAUAGUAGGUCUAGUAAGGUGUUGCCCCCCAAUUUGCUGGAUUCUAAGUCCCUCCAUUGAGGCACAUAUGUGUGUGAGUGACCUGCAAGGAUAUUAGCUAGAUGUGCCGCUUUGUAGUAUUCUUUUAUUGUAUGGAAGCCAAACCCACCCUUCCCCGCCACAUGCAUAAGUAAUCGACCUGGAACUUUAGGUAUUUUGAUGUUCCAAUAAAAUUUUUGCAGUGUUUGGAGUUUUUUUUCAUGAAUUGUAUUUGUAGUGUGCAAAAUAAGUACAAGAUCCUGGGGAGGAUCAUUUUAAUUGCGGCACCCCUGCCCAGCCAUGAAAGGUAUUUGCUCUUCCAUUGGGUUAGCGUGGUGUCAAUGUCUGUUUAUAGUUUUUGAUAGUUUAGCUUGAAUAAAACUUGUGAGGUGGUUGCUUGCCCAACAACGUCAGGUAGUUUUGUCUCCAGUCAUAGUUAAAGGAUUGUUUUAGAUUAUCUAGUCUGUCUUGUUUUAUCCCCACACCUAAUGCUCAGGGUUUUGUUAUGUUUAAUUUAAAGUAUGAUUGUAAGCCAUACUCAUGUAGUUAUUUUUGCACAUUAGAUUUAGAAUAGGUGAUUUUUCAAGAAAAUUUUGUAUAUGAUGAAGGAGAGUUUUUUUUUAUAUAUUUUUUAAUAUUUCUUAAUAAGAAUAAUGAUAAUGCGAUUUCACUUUAAAUAUAAAUUGGAUUGUGGUUGCAUAUAAAUAUAUAGAUAGAUCUGGAAUGUUACAUAGUUGGAGGAGGGUGUGUGAGACAGGGUAAGUGCGGCACGGUUGGGAAGGUAGUGUGACAGGGCGAGGGGACAUAAGUGUGAUAAGAUUCGGGGAGUUUAAUGUUAUCACAGUGUGUGUGUGGGAGGGGGUGACAGUGUGUGUGUAUGACAUGGUGUGUGGGAGGGGGUGACAGUGUGUGUCUUUGACAAUGUGUGUGGAAUACUGUGUGGGAGGGGGUUGACAGGGUGUGUGGAGGGGGUGACAAUGUGUAUGGAGUGAGGGGGUGACAGAAUGUGUGUGUGUGUGAGUGUGAGAUAGUGAAUAGGAGGUGGGUUACACCACAGUGUGGGGAGAGGCUCUCUCCCUGGUGGUCUUGAUAACCAGUCGUGUCUUGCGAGAUCAGGAAAUAUCAGAGCAUUGCCGUGGAAAUCCGCAAUGCUCCGACUGGCCAGAGAUCAUUAGAUACUUACUCCACAGUCUACAGCUAGCAGACCAUAGACUGUGCUGGGCAUUCACCACAGGAGGAACCACCUGUAUGCUGCCAGGCCCUCUCCUAGGGUUGGGCCCUUGGUCACGGACUGAGGACCCGAAAGGCCAGUCUGCACUAUGGUUUUGUCCCAGUCAGCGCGAGACCUUAAACGGCUACAUAAAUUGCCUAAUUAGCACACAAGUGCUUCGGUCUGGCAUGCUAUCAAGGUAAUGUUGAACAUUAUACAAGAACUAUCUUGAAGAAAGAAAUAAAAAAGUAGAAUCCAUUAAUGGAUAACUGAGAAAGAUUAAAAAAAAAUCUACUUCUGCGUCAAUGACUUUAGCGAACCAACUAAUGAUCAAGGUAAACUAUAGUCAUACUCAUACUUACACAUGGUAUGGGUGUGCCAGCAGAUUUUAUUUGCUUAAGUUGAAGAACUUGAUGGAUACAAAUAGAUGUAUGGUGAUGAAAUAAAUGAUUAAAGCUAAAUAAAUUAUAAGGAAAGUUGAGUUAAGUGAAAACUAGGUUACAAUAAAUCAAAAUAAACAGAAUAAACUUUAACAUAUAAUGAUGAUUGCACAUAGACAGUGAAAGAAAAUCUUACAUACCUAAGAAGAAAAAUGAAUGAGUGCAAACAAUGGGGAGGAUUUUAAAACCCAGAAGGCAAACAUGUCAACUGGAUCUUUAAAUAAAUUCAAAAUGAACAAGAAAGAAAUUGAAGUUGCCAAAUCUUUUAUUUUACAGGCUCACUAUUAAAUCAGCUUCGUGACAGCAGCACAAAAAUAAGAAGACUUUUGUGCAUAAAUAAUAAAGGGAAAAUCAAGACGUGGUUAUGAAAAUCAAAUAUGUAAUAGUGACUGCAAAAAUCUGACUCAGAAAAUACGUAAUAUCUCCGAACAACAUUAUAGAGAAGGCUGGACAAAAAAGUUGACUGAAAAAAAAAAUAUCUACCAGCACAUAUUUUAAAGCUGGAGAAGAGAUUAGUUUAAACUACUUGAAUGCAGACUUUCCUCGUGUGUUGCUAUGGUUCUUUAUCAAAAGUAAAUUAGCAUAUUAUGGAUGCAUAAUGCAAUGCAAAAAUGUUUAGAGAAAACUUUUCUCUCCAUAUUUACAUCACACGUGCACUUUAUUUUACUAAUUAAAAAUAAAAAAAUGGCUAUAGGUACAAUAAUUUAAAAACAAAGUAUUUUUAAAACGAGGUGUGCUCUUUUAUUAUUUUAUACUCAGUCCUCCGUUUUAAUUAAAAAAAAGAAAUGGAGGGGAAUUAAACAAAACAACAAAACAAAAAACAAUUUAACCCAUUAAGGACUGACCCAGUUGUACAAGUUGUGAUAAUAACAAAACGUAAACAAAACCUGGCAUCUGCGCUAAAUGUCUGUCCAACCGUAAUUCACCUCUUUCAUAUUAAAUGCACUCACACUUAUUAUAUAUCAUUUUGUUCAGGAGAAACAGGACUUUCAUGUGACAAAUAUUUAUAUAUUAAACCUAAUUUAAUAUGAGUACAAUGUAAAAAAAAAUUUGAAAAAUUAAGAUUUUUUAAAAUUUCUUUAAUACUGCAUGGCAUUUUAACUGUGAAUGUCAUAAUACUGUUAGCGGUUACUGCAAUAAAAUGCAAGUUUGUAUUCAGUGAAGUCUCAUGAGUAAAAUAGUACCCGCCAAGUACAGGUUUUAUAGUGUUUUGGAAAGUUACAGAGUCAAAUUUAGCACAUUACAUUUUUUUGUUUAUACACAUUGAAAUUUGCCAGACUGGUUAUGUUGCCUUUGAGACCGUAUGGUAACCCAGAAAUGGUAUGCCAUCAUGGGGGUAAUUCUCAUUCCUAGGCUACCAUACGGUCUCAAAGGCAACAUAACCAAUCUGGCGAUUUUUAAUGUGAAAAAGUGGAAAUGCAAGUUUUAUAUUACACUCUGUAACUUUUGAAAACACCAUAAGACCUGUACAUGGCGGGUAUUGUUAUACCCGAGAGACUUCUCUGAACACUAAUAUUAGUGUUUCCAAACAUUACAACUUAUCACAACAAUUAUAUCAUCAGUGAAUGUGCUGUUUGUGUGUGAAAACUGCAAAAAACUGCACUUUCACAGACAAUAUCAUUGUUGUGAUAUGUUUUUUACGGUUUUGAAACACUAAUAUUUGUGUUCAGUAAAGUCUCCUGAGUAAAACAGUACCUCCCUAUGUACAGGUUUUAUGGUGUCUUGGAAAGGUACAGGGUAAAAUAUAGGGCUUGCAAACCAUAUUCUCUGGACUUUCUGCCUGCGUUGUCAGGCAAGUCCCUUAAAUUGUAAUUAAUGAAAUUACUUAAUCAUGUAAAAAUCUUAUAUAAAUAUAUAUGUAGAAUUUAAAUAUAUAUGUAUAUUUAUUUAUAUAUAAAUAUGUAUAUAUAUAUAUUGUUUAUAAUUUUUUUUAUAUAUAUACACACACAUAUAUAUGUAUUCAUAAUGUCAUUCUAAAUGUAUUUUGAUUUAAAUAUAUACAAUAUACUGUUAGAGCGAAAGUAUACAGGUAAAUCAUUUAAAAAAAAUUAAUUAAAUUAUUUUUUAUUUUUUCGAUUUUCUUAUUUUUAUAUAUAGUUAUAUAUAUAUAUAUAUAUAUAUACAUACAUACAUACAUAUAUUUAACGUCAUUGUAAGUGUAUUUUAAUAUUAAUAUAUAUAAUUCUAUAUAUUAAUAUUAAAAUACACUUAGAAUAAUAGUUUAUGGGUAUGUAUGUGCAUAUAAAAGUACUUAGAUCAUAUACAUAUAUAUGUAUAUGAUCUAAGUACUUUAAUUUACUUUAUUAAACUUUUUUUUUACUUUUACUAACAUUCGAAACAUUUUUUACAGGCAGCAGGAGGACAGCCUGAGAGCUCAGGCAGCCCCCCUGCUGGCACUGCAUGAGCCAGCUAUUCCUGCCAUGUGAUCGCAAGGACCCCGCUAUCACAUGGCCCUGGAGGGCCUGAGCUCCCAGUCAGCCCCCACGGAUCGCGACCGCUGUCGUGGGAUUGGCGGGACCCAGUAAGUCUCCUGGACAGCGGCGUUAGGGACCGCCCAAAAAAGGACAGCAUAGAACCCCCGCCUUCCUUAAGGGGUUAAAGGGACUCUCCACUGACCAAAUAUAAGAUAAGCAAAAAUCACUGUUCAAUAGAUAUAUCCCAAAUUUAAACUUGCACCUUUUUUAAUAAUGCAUUCUUUCAUUGGGGGUCUAAAUUCAGUUUGCAUAACCUGCAGUUCUCCUGCCUGCUGUCUUUGCAAGCCCUCCCCUUCUAACCACUAUCAGAGAUAUUCCAAUACAGCCAGCUCAAUAAGAAGUCUUUGCAAGGUAGGUGUUCUUGGCAGUUGCUACCUCCUGUGUUUAGCUCCAUUGAGCUAACCAAACAGGAAGUAAAAGGACCAGUUUUCUGAGUGUUGGCCUGGACAUUGUAACCAAGUUAAUUUAUAAAAGUGUAAAUUUCUAUUGAAAUCUGCACUUUUUUUAAAUGAAAAUAGUAUUAUACACUCUUCACACAAAGCUUUUCAGCAAGCUAAAGUCUUUUAGGGGUCUGGAGUGACCCUUUAAACCCAUCUGUUAUAUAGUGCAGGGACAAACAUCUUACAGCAGCCACUCAGUCUCUUUUGAGAUCACAAAUACUUAUAAUCUUGGUCCAAUCCAAUGCUAUCACUACAGAGCUAUGGCGCAUGUGCACAAUUAAAGUAUACCACUAAGCAAAUGCUUCUUUAUGAGAAGCAUAAGCAGCACUGAAAAUCGACUGUCUUGACAGCCACUAGAAGUGUAGUUUAGGAAAAAGGGAACAUUGCUGUUUCUCUGAAAUUGUUUCUAUUGUCAGAUGAAGAAGGCAUGAUAUGUCCAUUGAAUUUAGAUUGUUAUAGUGUCCCUUUAAAUGUCUUUUCUAAUAACAUCUUCACACUUCACAUUACCUAACAAAGCAUAAUAUAGUUAAACAUUUGACUUACAAGUAAGCAUAUUUUAUAACUAAUGUGUACUUGUAUUUAACAUGUAAUAUUUUCUAUGUCACUCUUCCUGCAUGAUGGCUGCCCAAUUCUAAGUCAGGCAAAGUGCACACUAAUAGGAGUUCUGAAAGUUCUCUAUCCCUCUAGAAUUUUAUUUAAACCUGGACAGCGUAUUGAGCAAAAAAUGAAUGUUAUUCCCAGGUGACCUAAUUAGAGAUUCCCAUAGAUAUUAUAAAACCGGAACAUCUGGUGACAGACAUUUUGCUACAGAAAAUGAUUAGAUGUCAAACUCAAAGCAUGUAAUGCUCUUAGACAGUUUAAAUGAGCACACUGCAGGAUUAUUAUGUUAAUGGCCCAAUUUAGUAUUCUUCUGGGUAACAUUGUUAAUAGUUUAUUUUUUUUUCUAGAAUCAAUUUGUAUGCUUAAUAUGAACUAAUGGUUUUUAAAAGAAUGUCACAAAAUGCACUGGUCGGCUAUAUGCCUUCAUAACAUGAACACAACAGCAACCUUAGGAAAUUAAACAAUAUAAACGCGUUUACUAUACCCUUCAACGAAUCUGCUAACCUUUACUGAAAGUAUGUAAUAUGAUGACGAUCAAAUACAUUGCUUUUCCAUUAAACCAUGCAACUCUGCCUCCUUCACUUGCAGGUGCUGUAUUGUGAGCAGGUAUAAAACUGUUCCCUUUCUCGCUCAGAGAAGAACGCUCUGCAUCAGGCAUGGGAUAGGCCCCGGAAGUGUAUGAUGACAUCAAUGGAAGACGUAAGAAGUGUGUGAAUACAACAUUCUUUAUUUACCACUCGGACCGGCUUUCAUAUUUGCAAGUUCUUGUUUUUGUUUUAUAGAAAAAGAUUGAUAGAUUGACCCUUGCACGGAAAGUAUUUCAAAUAAGGGUUGGUCAGGGCAUAACCCUUAAAUUUAUUUAUGAAUCAAAAGUAACAGAAAUCCCUAUUGAGAGAUCCCUAAUAUGGUAUCUGAACAAAAAUAAGGUAACUGUUUGGAAUAUACUAAACAGUAAAAAGUGUGUGAAGAAAUGGAUACAAUUUAACAACAGAUUAUCCAUGUGGCUGUCUAGUCAGUGACUUGUUCAGCUUUAUUUCUCUUUGCCAAAAUUAAACACUUGAACAGCAGUUUUAUCUGUUUGCUAACUAAGUAUAAUCUUUAUGUGAGGAAAUUAAAAUAAUAAAGAACUUCAAAUCCCCAGUAUAGUCUCUCUCUAUAGUUACUGAAUUCCUAGGCAAAAAGCUAUUGGUAAAAUGAAAUUAAAUUGGAGAUAAGAAAAUUAGUAAAGGGGGAAGAUCUACUAAACUGUCGAUUGGGUAUGGUGGGGGUUAACAGGGAGAGGAGUGAUUUUAGAAAUAAAGGAAGAAUGAGCUUAUAACAGGAAGUCCAUCCUCGGGAAGUUUAUAAGGAUAGGAGGAAAAAAAAAAAUGUAAAUAAGCAGGUAAGUAUAUGAGUACUGUUAGAGCACCGAAACGUGUGUCUGGCUUUUCUUAUCUUUUAUUCACUUGCACUAAUUGCACAUUUUUUCACUCUUAAGUUUUGGGUUAUUAUUUAAGUGAGGAGGGGAAGGGGGGCUAGUUUAGAAUAUACGUCAUGAUAUCUAGAUGAUACAAAGCCGCAUUUGGGCCUAGAAUUUAGAGAGUUGAAGAUUUAGCACCCACCAAGGUGCAGGAUGGAGUAUCAGGACAAAGAUCUUCACACCCAUGAAGGUGCAGGAGGGAACAUUCUUUUAAGUAGAUACGUGGAUAAGUUGAUUUACCUGUUUCUAGCCCAGAGAGCUACUGGAGAGUUUUCUUGGAAGGACAGCAGCAGACAAAUUCCCUUUGAUGCAAUUUAACUUUAUAUCAGAGCAUAUACUGCUUAUUGUGUGAGUAUUAUUGACAUUAUGAGGUAAAUACCAGAGCCUCUGUAGGUGAUCAGCUGUGAAGGUUAUAUUGAUUGUCGUCUGCCUGUGUUUAUCACUGCCUCCAAUCUCUAAUCUAUUUACCUGCUUUUUUAUAUUUUUUUCCUCCUAUCAUUAUAAACUUCCCAAGGAUGGUCUUCCUAUUAUGAGCUCAUUCUGCCUUCCUUUCUAAAAUCACUCCUGUCCUCUUUAUCCCCCCCAUAUCCAAACGACAGUUUAGUAGAUCUCUCCCCUGUACACAUUUUCUUAAUUUGAUUUCAUUUUAUUACUAGCGCUUUGCCUAAGAAUUCAGUAACUAUAGAGAGAGACCCUACUGGGGAGUUGGCGUUCUUUAUUAUUUUAAUUCCCCCACAUAAUGAUUACACUCAGCAAACAGAUAAAACUGCUGUUCAAGUGUUCAAUUUUGGCAAAGAUAAAUAAAGCCUACAAGUCACUGACUAGACAGUCAAGAAGAUAAUCUGUUGCUAAAUUGUAUCUAUUUCCUCACACACUUUUUACUGUAUAUUUCAAACGGUUACUUUAUUUUUGUUCAAAUACCAUAUUAGGGAUCUCUCAAUAGAGAUUUCCCUUACUUUUGAUUCAUAUAUAUUUUUUUUCUUUAACCCCUUCCCUAUCUCAAACGGUCCUUAAAGGACCACUAUAGUGCCAGGAAAACACUCGUUUUCCUGGCACUAUAGUGCCCUGAAGGUGCCCCCACCCUCAGGGUCCUACUCCCCCCGGGCUGGAUGGAGAGGAAGGGGUUAAACACUUACCUUUCUCCAGCGCCGGGCUCCCUCGGUGCUGGAGACUCUCCUCCUCCUUUCCUGUCAUCGGCUGAAUGCGCAUGCGCGGGCAUUCAGCCAGUCUCAUAGGAAAGUAUUCUCAAUGCUUUCCUAUGGACGCUGGCGUCUUCUCACUGUGAAAAUCACAGUGAGAAGCGCGGAUGCGCCUCUAGCGGCUGUCAAUGAGACUGCCACUAGAGGCUGGAUUAACCCUAAAGUAAACAUAGCAGUUUCUCUGAAACUGCUAUGUUUACAGCAGAAAGGGUUAAUCCUAGGUGGACCUGGCAACCAGACCACUUCAUUAAGCUGAAGUGGUCUGGGUGCCUAUAGUGGUCCUUUAAGGUACCUAGUACGUCCGCGGAAUUCCCUCCUUACACGAUCGCCGCAGUUCCCCCGCAGACGAUCUGUGUUCCUCUCUGUCUGGGGGAACUGCCUGACAGCCCAGACAGUCGCCUAUCGGCAAAUAAGGACCCCGUGGGACCACGGGCCAUGUGACCGCUGAAAGAGCGGACACAUGGCCGCAAUAGGUGUCCAUAGUGCUGCCGGCAGGGGGAAUGCCUGAAUUGACAGACAGCUGGUGAACAAAAUAAAAUAAAAAAUGUUAAUAAAUGUAAAAAAAAUACAUGUAUAUAGGAAGUAGAAGAUUGCCAGCACUCCUGGAUUUAAGAACAAUAAUGUUUAUUUUCACAAGUCAACGUUUCAAUUCUUAGCUUGGAACUUUCAUCAGGACAAAAAAAAUGAUCAUACAAAUGACUGGCUUUUAUACAGAGCAAACAAGUUAAUUGCUCACCACCCCCAGGUGCUCGUCAAGUGGGUUGGCUGCUCCGGAGCUUGGGUGCAUAACAGAAUCACCUGAGUGAUUCCCCACACGUCAUAGGCAUGGUUCGCCUCCUCACAAAGCAUAUCCGGCGUCACUGCGUUGCCCGGGCAAGCGCCGAUAUCGUUUGGCUUUUGGCUGCCCAUAGGACCACUGACGGUGUGUGGAACCCAUCUAUCACAUGUGUCGGGACGUGUCCUUAGCAACUGGAGCUUGCCGAUCCCACUGUACAAGGCAACACCACACAUCCACAAAUGGCUUAACAUCUGUGACAGAACCAUCUGCCUGCUUGUAUUUCAGUUGCAUUCGUCUGUUUGUAUCCCGUUCGUAUGAAUGGCUGUUUUCUAUAGCCCAGCCAUUCGAAUGACUUUUUUCCCGAACAAACCUGCCAAACGGACGGCCACCCAGGAGAGAAGUGUGCUGCUGGUUAACCUAUUGAUCCCAAUUAGAACGUUGUGGUUAACCGCAGACACUUCUCAAUUAAACCGAAUUCAGGGUGGUCGUCGUUCGUAUGUCGACCACGAGGCAGCGGCCAUUUUAAACCACGCGAAAGCCCAGCGGUGUUUGGCUCUAUUUCUAUGGAACUAAAAACGGACACUUUUUCUGCCGAACACCGCUGAAACAACGGAACGCCUGGCUGUCUCCACGAAAGCAUACGAAUACCGGCCGUUCGGGAGGUUUGGAGCAUACGAAAAGCCUUAACCCAGAUAGCCUUCCCAUGGAGUCAUUCAUAUACCGAAAGACUGUAAGAACUUUGACUCCAUGGCGAUUGAACUAUGUGUGUGGGAUCUGAGCGCUAUUCGCUAAUAAUAUGCACUCAAAUCCAGGCUAUCUGGGGAUAUGUGAUACGAAUGGGAAAUGUUCGGUUAUUUUAAAGUUAUGUAUUUUUAUGUCUUUUAUGAUGUUAUAUUUAAAAUGGCGACUGGCUUCGUCCUGGAGAUAAUUGAGUUACUCGGUAAUUAUCUCCAGGGCAGAGGGGAGGGGAAUCAUAAUGCACUGUGGGUAAAAUCUGUGACUGUGUGUCUGGAAUGUCCCCAUAUCUGUCUGUCAUUUAAGUCUCCCAUUUGGUCCCUAGGGGAGUGUCCACCAAGUGGGAGACCUGCAUAAAUACGGGCAGGUAGCCCACAGUAAAGCCAGAUCCUGUUUGACCCUCAAUGCGGAGCUUCUGUCUCGUUAUUGGGGGGAUUUCUUCUUCACGUUUAGAGACUGCUGGAUGGAACCGAAAGCUGCUUGGUGGAUAUUGUUGUUCGGCGACUAGCAGCAGUUCGUGUGUUGCCGUUCGGGAGUUUGGAGCCGUUCAUGGAUCCGGUCGGGAGAUUGCCGCUUCCCCUGCAUUUGGUUCGUGCACUACAGGUUAGGCGAACGGAGUUACUGUUACUGCAGACGGGGAAGGUCUACUAAACGGUGGUUUUGUCUAAAGACACUGGAGGUGUCUUAACAACAUCUAUAUAAACAAAGGUUAUUGUGAACCGAGUAGGCUCUAAAUAGAACAUUAUUAAUUAGUAAAUGUCUGUAAGCUGGCAUUAUCCUUACCAGAAAUAGAUUGAACGUCCAUCAAGCAUAUACUAUAUAAACCCCCCUAAGGGGGGGGGGGGGCGGAGCUUAGCAGCGAACCUGGAUGGUAGCAAGCUCUCUGUGCUCCGCUCACAACUACCCAAAAACGGCUGAAAUCGCGAAAAAGAGACCUGCUAACCCCGCAGAAAACAGCUCCCUGACUGCAGGAACAAGAAUGGGCCGUAAAAACAAAAAAUCAAAGCCAGACAAGAGCCCACCGGGCCGUGAUAUCGGGGAUCUAUUCCGGAGCUCACAGAGGGCCGCAUGGGACAAAAUGGCGCUGGCGGACGACUGCUCCUCCUAUUCCUCGGAGGACAUGGCUAUUGCCCCGAUGGAAAAGUCCACUCUGGCUACAAAGCAGGGCCACGUCCCACUGGAGGCCACCUCAGGCCGGGACCCGGUCACCGCAGCGCAACUUAAGGCAAUGUUGGCGGAACUCCGCGCAAACUUGGCGGGUGACCUAGCCCCCCUCAAAAAGGCAGUCGAACACACGACUACCAAACUGGCCCAACUCGAAACUACCCAGAGCGUGCAUGAUAACCGGCUUACUGUGGUGGAGAAGGGUCUAGCUACUCUGGAUCAACAUCGGCUAAAGAUUGACCGCAGACUUGACACCAUGGAGGAUCAGAGGCGAAGGUACAACUUAAAACUCAGGGGAGUGCCGGAAAACAUGGGACUGUCGGACUUACCUCACUUUAUCAGGCGUUUUUUCGCGGCCCACCUCUCUCCGAAACAAGCCAAGAACAUGAGGCUAGACGGUAUGUUCCGCCUCCCGAAACCAACCAAUGUGCCACCCUCCACUUCUCCAGACCUCAUCCUCCGCUUCAGCACCCUACAGGACAAAGCCCUCUUGCAAGCCGCGGUGAGGGGAAAGACACCCAUUACCUUUGAGGGCGCCUCACUGCUCAUUUUCCCGGAUCUAGCUAGGAACACACUCCUGUGGCGCCAAUCCCUACGACCACUACUUCAGCAGCUACGCACUAACGAGGUGCCAUAUCGAUGGGGCCCCUACCGCACGGUCCUAAUUACAGCCCAAGACACGACUCUCCGCGCAGAAACAUAUCAGGAGCUGGAAGACCACUUGCGAUCGCUGGGACUCCCCCUUUAUGCCACCCCUGAAGGCAGAAACCUGUCACAAGUGGACUUAGCUGCGAUCAGGGAGUUCAUACCCCGGGCGGCAGGACCCAAGCCCACCGGACCUGUGACUUGACUGAGGGGAUGUCGGAUUUCAGUGGCUGCUGAGCCCUCACCCAAGACCCUCUACACAGCCAGGAACUGUCCCAGUUAUUUCACCCUACCAAUCCUGGAGACCCCAUGACCAUGAGUCGGAGUUACAUUUUUUUCAAAUGUUAUAUAGUUUUUAUUUUAUUUUUUAUAUUUUAUAUUUUUUAUUAUUGACAUGCUCUUACUGUUUUACUUUUGCCGUACUUUCAUCUAGAGUACAUGCUUUCAGCUAGCGGGGAUACAGAGACGAUUAAUAACACUGCCGCUCAGACUAAGACAUACUCACCAGUCCCAUCCUCUUCACCCGUGUACACAUGGCAUAGAUUACGCACAGAAACCAUCCAGGCGCUUAAUGGCAACACUUCAGAAAAUCUCUCUCCCCCCCCCUUCCCUACCUUUAAAUGGCGCACAGGUGCCACUACCUUUUCCUGAGGGAGGGGCAUCCACACUAGCCACGGACAUACCUACCACCAGUACCGCACUUAUGACGAGCAGUUCUGUGGCUACACCACUCACACGACGCUUAGGCAGACUUACACCACAAAAACAAAAAACACCUCAAUUCACUAACACACUCACAAGCUACGCUACGCGACUUCUUUUUCUCUUUUGAUGUAUAACUUACUCUCUAAUAUGAUGUCCAAGAAAUGCUCAAACAACAUAAGCUAUAUGAACCCAUGUUGAUAAUUACUGUGAUUUGAGAAAAAUAAAAAUUAAAAAAAAACCCUAUUGGGAUACCCCUUAGCCUUAAAUAAUUGACGCAGUUCAUUCGCUUUUAGUUUGAACUCAUCCAUGGUCGAACAAUUUCAGUGAAGUCUCAGUUAUCGGCCUAUCGGAAUUCCUGAUUUCAAUGAUGUGGGGUGAUGACUUGUCCAACACAAUAGAUUAUUGGAGGCUGUCUUUUUCCUAUACAAUGUUGUAUCUAUUUUGCCUCCUACAGAAAUCUGUAGUGUCAGAUCUAAAAAGCAAAGACAUUGACCCCCUACUUCACUUGUAAACUGUAAAUUGAAAUCAUUGAUGUUAAGCAAAUAUACAAAUUCAUUGAAUUUGUCUGAUGUGUCUAGCCAAAUCACAAAGACGUCGUCGAUAUAUCUUUUCCAAUAAAAAAUCUGGUCAAUAUAAGAUUUAAACCCCUCUAAGCACAGAUUAGUAAGUACCCCUUACCUACAUAUUGAAACCCAAUGCCAAUAAAAAUGAAAAUAUACAGAAGUAUUAAAAAAGAACAUAAGUAAAAGCAAUUACGUGAAUAAAGUCCUAGGUCUUAAAGUGACAGUGAUUAUGUGAAUAAAUUUCAGAAUCUUAAAGUGACAGUGCAGGAAUUUUUCCAUAAGUAAGAAUCUUUAGACAGGAUGUCUAUAGAUGCAUAAGUUCAAUGUUAAUAGCUCUAUAAUACGUGGAUAUGAAUAGUAAAGUGAAUGAAGUUCAAAAUCUAAAGUGACAGUGCCACUCCACCAAAGAGAGUCGGUCAGUAGUGUAUUUAUAUUAACGAGAAUUCGAUCGCAGUGAAUACUUAGUUUUAAGAUAAAACUAAAAGGGCAAAUAAAUGUCUGAUGUAUUGUAAAGUGCAAAAGUUAUUAUGUAGAGUGCAAAAAGAUAAAAGUACAAAAAGUUAAUGACCUAAAAACUAAGAUCCAAUAAAGUGCAUAAAGUGAUCCAUAAAGACAUUAGAAAGAAAUUGACAGUAAAUAUUCUACAAGGUACUACAGUCAGGGGUAGAUAACAUGCUAUCACCUUAAAGUGAGCCAUAUUGUAGUAGUGGUGAGAGAAUAAUAAGGUCAGCAAAAGCAGAUAUAAAUAUAUAUACACACACACUGCUCAAAAAAAUAAAGGGAACACUUAAACAACACAAUGUAACUCCAAGUCAAUCACACUUUUGUGAAAUCAAACUGUCCACUUAGGAAGCAACACUGAGUGACAAUUACAUGAUUUUGCUAUUACAUGACGAAAAGUCAUGAUUUUAUUAAAGACACGGAGGCGAGUAUUGCAUAUCCCUUUCUUUACUGUCCACCAAUAGCAGCAAAGAAUACAUACAGAAUGAAAAAAUAAUGAACAUGCAGUAACAUAGGCCCCUCCCCGCUCAGGUCCCAGUAUAAUAGGCAGCACUUCCCUUCCAUUUCCCUCUUUCUGAAGAUGCGACCAAGGUAAAAUGUCCAAAAACAAGAGUAGUGAGAGAAAAAGUCCCAAGGUAACACUUAUAACUGAAAAGGGAAGAACAUCAACAACUGGGAAGCUUGACCACAGGAGUCAUAGGACCACCGGAUAACAGCGGGGGGAGUCCUCCUAAGCCGGAUGAUUGUUUGCCUUCUCGUCAAAUUAGUCUGUGAAAACUUAAAGGAACAGGAGCCGACAGGUUAAAGUCGAUACUUGCAACUAGUUUCAAGGUUAAACGGGUGAGAACGGGUGAGGAAAGCCAACACAAUGGAGACAUCCCAGGUCAUGGAGUAGCAAGGCCUGGGUGGUCGUGAGAAUCGAGAACCCUUGAGGAGUCGGCACACUAAGGGGUGUUGUCCCACGGGGCAUCCAUCAAAGCCUUGGUGAAUCGCCGAGAUGGCAGACCUGUAAAGGUUGAUAGUCCUGUAAGCCUUUCCAGCCUCGAAGAGGGACGUCUGAAACUGUAGGACCACUGUUACAGAGGCCGAAACGGGAUCCGUGUUCCUAGCCAUGCACCAGCCAGCCCAAGCUCGCCAAGCUGACCCAUAUGCCCGUCUAGUGCCGGGAGCCCAUGCCGCCGCCAAUAGACGUCUAGUCGUGUCCGAAACUCCUUGGAUUUCCCAGGGUCCCCGGAGAUUCGCCAUGCCAGGAGUGGGAGAGAGCCUUCUAACCGGAGGGGGUGAUAUCGUCCUGUCGGGUCCCGCAGCAAGUUGUGGUAUUCCGGCAGUAGUCAGGGAUAGUCUAUCGUCAUCUCGAGCAUUUGGGGAAACCACGACUGCAUUUCCAAAAAUGGGGUCACCAUGACCACUUCUGCCCGGUGUUUGCGGGUCUGUAGGAGCGAGCGCGGGAUCAUGGAGAACGGGGGAAAGGCAUAUAGGAGGCCUCCACUCCAGUGUUGCAGGAAGGCGUCCACUGCCUCCGCCAUUGGAUCUGGCCUCCAGAUGAAGAAGCGUGGCAGGUGGGUGUUGAGCCAGGAAGCGAAAAGGUCAAUGGUAAAUGGUCCCCAGAGAAACGAUAUAUUGGAGAACACCGCCUUGGCCAAUCUCCAAUCGCUGGUGUCAGAGAUAACGUGAGCCCCAGACCGCCUGGACAUUGUGCAGGCCAGGUAAGUGUUCCACGUAGACCAUCAGGUUCUGAUCCAGGCAAAAUUCCCAGGUGGUUGACAUAUCUCACCACCGAGACGUUGUCCAUGUGGAGCCGAAUGCAUGUUAGGGUUCGGUCUCUGGCGAAACUGCGGAUGGCGAAGGAGCCUGCCAGGAGUUCCAGCGCGUUGAUGCGCAGCCGGGAUUUGGAUUCCCGGGAUUUGGAUUGGCGUCAGGUACGCGUCCUUGAGGUCUAGCUUCACUAGCCAAUCUCCGUGGAGGAGAUCUCUUAGUAGGUGAAUACCUUCCAUCUUGAAAUGGCGGUACCUGACUAUGGCAUUGAGGGGGCGCAAAUUUAUGACGGGUCUCAAUUGACCGCCUUUCUUUUCCACCAGGAAGAUGUUGCUUAUGACACCUGCGGGGUUGAGAGGUGCUAGUUCUAUAGCCCCUUUGAUAAGGAGGGAGGAGAGUUCCUCGUCGAUCUGUCUGCGAUCCUGGAGGGAAAAGCAGAUCGGUCAAGGAGGGAGAAUGUGUAUCAGAUGGUUUAUGAGUUCUAUAUGGAAACCCCGAAUAGUGGUCAGCGCCCAGGGGUCCGAUGUUAUUUGUGACCAGGCUGGAAAAAAAUGUUGGAGUCUGCCCCCUACACAACCCAGAGAAGAAGUGUGAGGUAACUCACCGUAUGGUCGCCUUGAACUUGGGUUGCCCCCGAAAGCCUCUGGACCGCCAUGGACGUCCGCGAGAUGGAAAGAACGUGGGGCGGGAGUUAGAAUCCUGGUACUGCGUACGAUGUUGGAAGGAGCCUCUUCCCGUGCCAUGGGAUUGGGGGUAACUGCGGCCGGCCAGACGGCUCCUGAAUCUGCCAGCCCUGGUAGAGACCCGCCCCUGGAACACCCGCCUCAUGGAGGCUUGGGCCUUGUCUAGGGCUGUGAACGCUCCAACAAAGUGCCCUAAAUCUUUUAUAAAGGAGUCUCCGAAGAGUAAACCUUGGGCGUCCUUACCCGCCUCCGUAAGGACGAGGUUGGCCAGUUUAGGCUCAAUCUUAAAUAAUAUGGCCUUACGCCUUUCUAUAGAUAGGGAGGUAUUCACACUCCCAGCAAUACAUAUUGCUCUCUGGACCCAACCACGUAGGUCUUCGGGGUCAACCAUGCGGUUCUCCGCUCUGGCGUCUUCCGCCAAGUCAAAUAAUUUGGCCAAGGGGCCGAAUAUGUCCAGAUGUUUGUCCUGGCAGGACUUUAAUGCAGACUCCAGUCCUUUACGGGGGUUCCAGCCCAAUUUAGUGAGGAACUGGGUCAUCUUGGGGUCUACCUCCGGAGUGUCGCAGACUUUAUUAGUCACCACAGGCCUAGGACACUCUGCCCUCAAUUUGUUGCGGGCCGCUUUACUCAAAGGUCUUCUGACCCAAUUCUCUAAAUAUGUGGCAACGUGGGCAGCCGGGAGCCACUCUGCCAAUCUCGGAUGGUGUAGGUCAUCCGGGUCGAAGAGUGGGACACCCGACGGAUCUACAAGGGUGGACCCCGCGGCCGCGGGGUUCCUGAUCCCUAUCUCGCCUCCGGGCAUCUCUGCCUGAGCAGAGGAAAGGAGGUCAAAGCCAGCAUCAGCGGCAUCCGCAUCAGAGUCACUGUCUGACUCGCUCUUAGCCUCCUCAUUUGACCCGAUUUCUGUGUCGGAGUCGCUCUCUAGCUGUGCUCUGGCACAUUUCCAUAGCCGCGCCCGUUCUGCCUGGCGCGGAAAGGCUCUUUUGCGUGGAUGGGACACGCUUUCUAGGGCGACCGAAGGUACGCCAGUCAUGGUGUUUCUGGAGGCAGAGGGGUGUUUCGACUUGUGGGUAGCCUUUUUAAAUAUCUCUCCCUGAGGGUUCACAGUGGACGCGGUAAAGACGUCGAGGAGCCCGAGAAUUGCUCGUCCAAAGGACGUGGCAAGAGGGCCUGUGAAAUGGUGUGGGAGAGGGUGGAGGACAUAGACCCCAUGGCCGCCAUAAUGGCGUCUGUCACCGAGCGCUGCAGCGCUAGGAACUGUGCCCCAUCAGGGUGGGUAGUUCCAUCUGUCAUAAUGGGCGAAUUGCCUGAGGUGACAGGGGCCUCACUUCUAAUAAGUGGGGUAUCAGACUCCCUAGAGGGAGUGGACCCAGCGGAUAGUCUGGGUUUAGGCAUGCUAAACAAGCAGAGAUAAUAAGCUAACAAUAGGAAUAGUAUGGGUUAGUCACCCAAACAGCAAAGACAAAAAACUAAAACGCUCUCACCAGGGCCCAGACCAGUGACACACUAAGAUGCAGGGUAGGAGAGAAGACAGGAAGUCUGAAAAUGGCCGCCGGUAAUCUCGCGGGAUUCGCGGCAUCCGCGGCAAAACUACAGAACGUUCGGUAAAAAAAGGUGAAUUCGGGAACCAGAUAGGUAAGUAUAGGAGAAUAUAGAAUAGGCGAAUGGGCGGUUCGCAUGAAAAUUUUGAAUGCGGCAAACAUGCGAACGCGCUGUCUGCCGAAUGGGGAAUAGUAUGUAUGUGUGGCGAAUCAGCCGAAUAGGCUUAAUUCGUGCGCAUACACGGCCGGGUAGAGGAGAAAAUGUGCACAAAAUGGCGCCAAUGGCAGGGAGGACGGAAAAGGAGAUAAGACUACAGUGGUGUAGUGACAGGGGUGGUCUGGACCCUGGGUAUGAGAAACAAACAGUGCACAGAAAAAUAAUGCAAGAUGAAGACAUCCAAGUACAAUAAAACAAAAUAAUUCUAGAAUAAAUGUAAAUAAAUAUAUGAAAUAAAAUAAAUAAAACAAAUAAAUGUAAAACAAAUAUUACAAUAAAUAUAAUAAGAUAGAAUGCUACCAGAAACCAGUCCAAUAGAAAACUAUGAAGAGAAAAAAGUGACAUGUACUUACCUUUGUGUCGGAGCAGCAAAGAGGGAAAUGGAAGGGAAGUGCUGCCUAUUAUACUGGGACCUGAGCGGGGAGGGGCCUAUGUUACUGCAUGUAUUCUUUGCUGCUAUUGGUGGACAGUAAAGAAAGGGAUAUGCAAUAUGAGCCUCCGUGUCUUGUUAUAAAAUCAAUUUCACAUGCUGUUGUGCAAAUGGGAUAGACAACAGGUGGAAAUUAUAGGUAAUUAGCAAGAAACCCCCAAUAAAGGAGUGGUUCUGCAGGUGGUGACCACAGACCACUUCUCAGUUCCUAUGCCUCCUGGCUGAUGUUUUGGUCACUUUUGAAUGCUGGCGGUGCUUUCACUCUAGUGGUAGCAUGAGACUGAGUCUACAACCCACACAAGUGGCUCACGUAGUGCAGCUCAUCCAGGAUGGCACAUCAAUGCGAGCUGUGGCAAGAAGGUUUGCUGUGUCUGUCAGCGUAGUGUCCAGAGCAUGGAGGCGCUACCAGGAGACAGGUCAGUACAUCAGGAGAUGUGGAGGAGGCCGUAGGAGGGCAACAACCCAGCAGCAGGACCGCUACUACCUCCGCCUUUGUGCAAGGAGGAACAGGAGGAGCACUGCCAGAGCCCUGCAAAAUGACCUCCAGCAAGCCACAAAUGUGAAUGUGUCUGCUCAAACGGUCAGAAAGACUCCAUGAGGGUGAUAUGAGGGCCCGAUGUCCACAGGUGGGGGUUGUGCUUACAGCCCAACACCGUGCAGAUCAUUUGGCAUUUGCCAGAGAACACCAAUAUUGGCAAAUUCGCCACUGGCGCCCUGUGCUUUUCACAGAUGAAAGCAGGUUCACACUGAGCACAUGAGACAGACGUGACAGAGUCUGGAGACACCUUGGAGAAUGUUCUGCUGCUGCAACAUCCUCCAGCAUGACCGGUUUGGCAGUUGGUCAGUAAUGGUGUGGGGUGGCAUUUCUUUGGGGGACCGCACAGCCCUCCAUGUGCUUGCCAGAGGUAGCCUGACUGCCAUUAUGUACCGAGAUGAGAUCCUCAGACCCCUUGUGAGACCAUAUGCUGGUGCGGUUGGCCCUGGGUUCCUCCUAAUGCAAGACAAUGCUAGACCGCAUGUGGCUGGAGUGUGUCAGCAGUUCCUGCAAGACGAAGGCAUUGAUGCUAUGGACUGGCCCACCUGUUCCCCAGACCUGAAUCCAAUUGAGCACGUUGCACUACAGACUGUCCAGGAUUUUGCUUUAGUCCAGGUCUGGGAGGAGAUCCCUCAGGAGACCAUCCGCCACCUCAUCAGGAGCAUACAUAGGCAUUGUAGGGAGCUCAUACAGGCACAUGGAGGCCACACACACUACUGAAUCUCAUUUUGACUUGUUUUAAGGACAUUACAUCAAAGUUGGAUCAACCUGAAGUGUGUUUUUCCACUUUAAUUUUGAGUGUGACUCCAACUCCAGACUUCCAUGGGUUGAAAAAUUUGAUUUCCAUUUUUUUAUUUUUGUGUGAUUUUGUUGUCAGCACAUUCAACUAUGUAAAGAACAAGUAUUUCAGAAGAAUAUUUAAUUCAUUCAGAUCUAGGAUGUUAUUUUUGUGUUCCCUUUAUUUUUUUGAGCAGUGUGUGUGUGUGUAUAUAUAUAUAUAUAUAUGUAUAUAUAUAUAUAUACACACACACACAUAAAAUACAAGUUUAGUAAUAAAAACAACUAUAACUAUAUAUACACAAUUAUUUUGGGAUUCUGAAAAGAUAAGUACUAGCACAUAGCCAUAUAUUAAAGGAAUGGUAGAAAAGAGCACUUUUCAUUCAGUCCCUUUGGAGACAGUGUGUUAAGUUCAAGGAUCCAAACAAGUUUCCCGCUGCAACAAUAGUUUAGCCCUGUCACCCCCGCUUGCGGGUACUGGAGCAUGGUCAAUUGCCACACAUCUAAGUGUCGAGAGAUGCUGCAGAUUUUCCAGAAAAUGUCUGGCCACAGGUUUGUCCGACUUCUUGUCCGAUACUUGACCUGUGUCCCCUGAUUCUCUCACAUAGUGCGGUUUCAGUUUUCCCAACAUAGUUAAGACCACACGGGCAAGUGAGUUUGUAAACCACAAAGUCUGUUCGACAAUGUAUCCUAUAUUUUAUUUUAUAGGAUUUACCUGUGCGUGGGUGACAGAAGAUUUUGAUGUCACACAUUCUAAACAGCGAACACAUACCACAUUCAUUGUCUUCUGUCACUUAGGCAUAUAGCAAUGCGUUGGGUCUGUGUGGACCAAUAAGUCUCUGAGGUUUUUAUUCACAAAAAAGAGAGCAAGGAACACAACGUUCCAAGUCCCUGUAUAGCCGCCGCACCCACCACCUCAAAACCUCCCCAAAAGGGGGGCAGUGGCUGCAGGGGUCACGCAGAGACCAACGUACCAGUAUGAGACUCCAGCUGUCUCAGAGGGGCUUAACCCCAAAUAUAAACACAAGAACAAAGAAAUAUGCAGACCGUCUCAAUUAUAUGAAUGAAACUUACUGCAUUGACUGGAAAAAAUAUAUCUAUGUAUAGCGCGAUGUUCCAAAUAUAGAACCUGGCUAUUAGAAAUAAUAUGGUCAGAGACCCUAAUUGAACAAAGUAUAUGGGCGUUUUUUCUGCACUGGGCACUGGUGUUUGGAGCACCAUGAUCACCAUUUAAUUUAACUUUAUUUUAUAUCGUUUUCUUCUUUUCUUUCCUAUGCCUAUCUAGCUAGCUUUACAGGGAGAGAGGCUUUAUUAAUGCUAAUUAUCAGUCUGUUUUUGACUGAUUUUUUUACUUCUAUUUUCAGUCCUUAUCUCUCUCUGUUUUUCUUAAUAUGUUUCUAGUGUGACCAGGAUACUUCCUAGGAUGCAUGGAUUAUAGAGACUUAGCUACUGUAUACUCCUAUCCCUAUAGCAGAUCACAAUAAAGCUUAAUUAUAAGGGGGAGUGAGGUUAUCUUUUUUACUACCUCUUGAUCUAUACUACCCUGGGCUGGCAUAGGAUUGUAGGUUCACUUGUAUAUACUUUGUUCAAUUAGGGUCUCUGACCAUAUUAUUUCUAAUAGCCAGGUUCUAUAUUUGGAACAUCGCGCUAUACAUAGAUAUAUUUUUUCCAGUCAAUGCAGUAAGUUUCAUUCAUAUAAUUGAGACGGUCUGCAUAUUUCUUUGUUCUUGAGGUUUUUAUUCAGUUUAUACACGUAUAAACACUUUUCAAGAUAUUCCAAUUCUGAUCAAUUAAUGUUUUAAAGGCAGAGCUGGUUGUAUGGAAUUUCAUGGGGAAUAUCAUUCUAGAUGAAGCUUUAUCCGUCUUUAUAUUCUCCCUGGUUUCCUGAUACUUUUAUUUAGCCUUAUCCAAGGCCCGAUUGAGUACAUUCCUUUUGUAACAUUGUGCGACAAAUCUAUCAUACAUCAUUUGUAACUGUUCAGUCCGUUGAGCGUCAACAGAGUUGAUUCUGAAAACUCGAAGGAACGGAGAUAACGACAAUGUAUCUUUGAGGUGUUUAGGGUGAGCGCUGCAGAAUUGUAUUUCUGUUCGUUGGUUUUGUAUAUAAUUUAUGUUCCAGUUUUCUUUCAUUCAAUGAUAAUUCUAUGUCAAGGAAUUUUACGCUUUUGGAGUCAAUCUCAGAAGUGACUUUGACUGGUGUUGGUAGAUUAUUAAUAUAAUCCACAAAUGUCUGAGCCUCACUUUCUGUGCCGUUCCAUAAGAUCAGAAUAUCAUCUAUAAAGCGAUAAUAUUUCACAAUCGGAUGUUUAAACUGUUGUAAGAUAUAUUUCUCCUCAAAGGCAUAGAUAAAUGUGUUGGCAUACACCAGGGCCAUUGCUGCCCCCCUCGAGGUACCGGAGAAAUGUAGGUACCAGCUGGUCUGGAAACGAAAAUAAUUACAUUGUAAAGUCAACUGUAGAAGUUCCAGGACAAAUUUAAUCGCUGGACCUUGGUAGACCGGAGAGUUGGAAAGAUGAUGAUUCAUUGACUCAACAUCAUCUUCAUGGGGUAUGAUGGUGUAUAGACUAUUUACAUCCAUUGUUAUUAACACACCAUCAAACUCCCCUACUGUCUUAAGAUCCAUAGAGGAGGUUUCCCAUGUCCUUAAUGCAGGUGGGAAUUGUCAUCACUGGUUCCCACCUGGUUAUUUGAAUAAGAAAUUAAGAUAUUUAGCGAUCGGUUCAAGGAUACCAUCCGCCGUUGACACUAUAGGAUGCCCCAGGGGGUCCUUUAGACUUUUAUGGAUCUUUGGAAGUGCAUAUAUUAUUGGGGUUUGAGGGUUCUUCUUUUGUAAAAAUUGGAAUAGAUUGAGAUUGAUAUGGUCCGCUCUUAGUCCAAGUAAUAAAGUAUCUUACAUUUUUCAUGCGAUUCUCAAUGUGGGAUCAUGUUCCAGAAACUGAUAUGGGUUACGAUCCUGAAGUUGUCUCAUCGCCCUUAUGUGUGGGAUCCAUAGAAAGGGCUUUAAUCAAUUGACGUUCUUCUUUAGAUAUAUUUGAAUUCUGUGGUCUAUGUUCGCGUAGGAUUUACUCUGUCUAUUGUCUAUCUUUUGUCUCUUAAAUUUUAUAAGCUGGUUCUUAUACUGUGAAUUUAGCAACAAGGCAUAUUCAAUUUCCAGGGCUUGGAUCUUAUUCCGGAUCUCCAAAAAGUCUUCCUUUACAUCUUGAAUUGUAAUUAACAUAAGAUCUAAGGAGCACUUAUUAAGUAUGGACAUCCAAUCUUUACAUACCUUCGAUUUUGUUCUUCCAAUAUAUAUAUAUAUAUAUAUCUAUAUAUAUAUAUUUUAUAUUUAUAUAUAACGUCAUACUAAGUGUAUUUUCUUAAUAUAUACAUACAGUAUAUUAAAAUAAAAAUACACUUAUAAUUACAUUACACAUAUAAUAUAUAUAAUAACUAUAUAUAGUAUAUUAUAAAAUAUAAAUAAGUUAAUAAAAAUAAAUGGAAAAAUUUAAAAACAAUGAAAAAAUUUAAUAAAUGAUAUAUAUAAUUUUAUUCUAACUGUAUUUUGAUUAUAUAUUUAUAUCAAAACACUUAGAAUUAAAUUAUAUAUCUAUGUAUAUAUAAAUAAGUAAAAAUACGAAAUAUAUAUACAUAUUUUUAUAUUUGAAGUCUACGUGUAUAUUCAUGAAAUUAUUUAUGUAAUUAUGUAUAUGGACAUAUGUAUAUUUAAAUUCUACGUGCAUAUUUAUGUAAUAUUUUUACAAAAGUAAUUUUAUUGAUUGCAAUUUUGGGGGCCUGUCUGACAACCCAGGCUGAAAGUCCAGAGAAUGUAAUUUGCUAGCACCUUAUUUAACCCCAGUAACUUUCCAAGACACCCUAAAACCUGUACAUGGGGAAUCAUGUUUUACUCAGGAGACUUCACUAAACACAAAUUUCAAAACAGUAAAAAACAUAUCACAGUGAUAAAAUUGUCAGUGAAAGUGACUUUUUUGCAUUUUUCACACACAAAUGGCACUUUCACCGAUGAUAUUGUUGUGAUACGUUUUACUGGUUUGAAACACUAAUAUUUGUGUUCAGCAAAGUCUCCCAGGUACAACAAUUUCCCCAUGUACUGGUUUUAUAGUGUUUUUGAAAGUUAUAGGGUCAAAUAUAAGGCUUGAUUUUCCAUUAUUUCACAUUGAAAUUUGUAAGAUUGGUUAUGUUGCCUUUGAGAACUUAUGGUAGCCCAGGAAUGAGAAUUACCCACAUGAUGGCAUACCAUUUGCAAAAGGAGACAACCCAAUGUAUUGCAAAUGGGGUAUGUUCAGUCUUUUUUAGUAGCCACUUACUCACAAACAAUGACCAAAGUUAGCGUUCAUAAUAGUUUUUUGCAUUUUUAUCACACAAAUAUAAAUGCUAACUUUGGCCAGUCACCUAAAAUGAUCUCUACCUUGCUAAAGAAAAACUCGACAUUCUUUCCUUCUAGUUUCAAAUCUGGUCCUUUAGAGGUUUUCGAGAAACUAGUUACAAAAGAUUUAGAAAAAAUCCAUAAAAAUAAAUUUGAUCAAGAUAAUCUCACACAAUUAGAACGUAACGCAUUGCAACAACUACAAAGAGACGAAAAUAUUAUCAUAAAACCUGCAGAUAAAGGGGGAGGUAUAGUUAUUUUAACUAAGUACAUGUACACAAAAGAAGCCAUGAGACAGCUUAAUGACACCAUUGUUUAUGAAAAACUAACACAAGAUCCUACCUCCAAAAUUCAACAGAUUUUAACCUCUUUCUUAAUUAAUGGUUGUGAUCAAAACAUUUUAAGUAAACAGGAAUUUGAAUAUUUAAAUGUUUCCCACCCCAUAAUUCCCGUUAUUUAUUUUUUACCGCAAAUUCAUAAAAAUAUUACAAACCCUCCAGGUAGGCCCAUUGUUUCAGGCAUUAAUUGCAUUUUAUCUAAUUUAUCUGAAUAUCUAGAUAUCCUUUUACAGCCCUCAGUGAAGUGUAUGAAGUUAUACCUAAAAGACUAUGACAUUACUUUUAAACAAUUUUAUAUAGAAAAAUACAUACCUCUUAGUUACAUGCGACGUACAAUCUUUAUACACAAUCAUCCCUCAUGACAAAGGGUGUUCAGCAGUUGAAAAUAUUUUAAGAGCCGAAAAAAAUAUUCCAGAUCAACAAAUAGAUUUUAUUAUUCAAGGCAUCAAAAUUAUUUUAAAUAAUAAUUACUUUUGGUUUUUAGAUUCUUUUUAUUUACAAAAACAGGGCACUACUAUGGGGACCAUGUUUGCCCCCAGUUAUGCCAACCUUUUUAUGGCAGAUUGGGAAUCUACUGCCAUUCUGGGAGGGCAUGACUGGCAGGCAAACCUGGUCACAUAUUUUAGAUAUAUAGAUGAUUUGUUUUUUAUCUGGGAUGGUUCAGAGGACUCUCUGCAUCAGUUUUUACAGUAAUAAAAUCGAAAUGAUAAAGGUACUGUCCUAAUUUGGGAGUAUAGUAAAUCCUCCAUCCAUUUUUUUAGAUUUAGACAUUUUUAUUAAGAAUGAACAAAUUAACUUUUUUUUUUUUAAAGUAUGUACGAACAAUGUUAUUGAUGUGUCCAGCUGCCAUCAUAAGCCCUGGCUUCAAGGCAUACCCAAAAGUCAGUUUCUUUGUUUACGAAGAAACUGCUCCCUCACACAAGACUUUGAGGAACAGUCUCAAUUAAUGUCCAACAAAUUUUCCCCAAAAAACUACUCUAGGAAUAAUUUAGACCAAAUGUUAAAAAAUAUCAGUGAAAAAAAUAGAUCUGAAUUAUUAGAAUACAAAAGAAAUAAAGAUACUAAAACCGCUCCAGUAUUGCCAAUCAUUUUCGACUUCAAUAACAAAAGUAAUGUUAUGAAGAUUAUAAAGAAACAUUGGCAUAUAUUAACACAGGAUGAGACUCUAGCUGGAAUUAUCCCUGAGAAACCACAUGUUCUAUUUAGAGGGGCACCCAGCUUUAAGUCUAUCCUUACAAGAAAUUCCACGAAACAAAAAUAUAGCACUUUUCCCCCAGUCCUUCUACCUUUUUAACUAGACCUAGCGUUUUUUUUAGAUGCAAUAGGUGCAUAGUAUACAAAUGCCCUAGUGACACCAUUAAAUCUAAAACUACUUCUUUUGUAUCAACAUCCACACAGAAAACAUAUCAGAUAAAACAUUUUAUUCACUGUAACACAAAAAAUGUAAUUUAUCUUCUGGAAUGUCCGUGUGGGUUUCAAUAUGUUGGUAUGACCACUAGAGAUCUAAAAACCAGAUUAGCUGAACACUGUAGAAAUAUUCUAAAAGGUUAUGAGAAUCACUCAGUGUCAAAACAUUUUCUACAGCAUGGAAAGAAUCCAAGACACCUCAAAUGCAUUGGCAUAGACAUUUGCAAUGUCCCAUGGAGAUGUGGAGACAUCAAAAAAGUUUUGGGCAAAAAAGAAAUGGAAUGGGCUUAUAACCUAAAAACCCUCGCCCCUACAGGGCUUAAUAUAGAUUUUGAUCUUUUAAAUUUUUUUCGAUUCUCUUAACCUUUUAGCUGUAUAUUUUACUUAUUUUUAUCAUACGCUUUUAUGCUUUACAGUAUUAUCGGUUUUAUAAUUGUACUUUUUAUUUAUAUUUAUGUUUAUAUGUACUGUUCUUUUAAAAUAUCCAACUUCCAUUAUUUAGUAGACAUGUUGCUAGAUUAGCCAUAUGUUUACUAAGCAAUUUGUUAUGUUUGGUGCUUUUUCCUUUUUUUCUCUGUAUGGGCUUUACACAUUUAUUUUUAUUUGUUAGGUUUUUGUUUCUAUGUGCAUCUACUAAAAUAUCUUAAUAAGUGCCCAUUUUGGGCUUUGAACUUGUGCCAUGUGCAGGCUGAUGCUGGUUUGGCUGUCUGCCUGCUUUUGCAGGCAGACAGCCUGAUUAUGGUUUCCCUGCCGUUUACUUUUACGAUCCAUCGAUCCUCCCAGACAGCCCACCCCUUCCACGUCAUCCUAGGCUAAGUGGAACGCAUGCGUUCCAUUUGGCAUCACGUGACGCGGAAGUGUUUUUAGCAGCGCGUCAUGUGAUCGCAUUUUAAUUUCUAUCUUACACAUUUUAAACCCUCGUUUUGCAGUUCCAAUAGCUGUACCUACUUUAUAUUAACCAUGUUUAUACAAUACUAUGUUUUAAUUGCCGUUUUUAAUUUGUACUAUGCUAAUGAGAUCCCGAUGAUGUCACUAUGGCGGGAAAUUCAAAUUUCAAUAGUAUUAUUGUAUCCUAUAUAAACCCAUGUAUGUCAGGUUGUGUUCUUUUUACUAUUAUCUACUUGAAGAAGCCUUUUUAGGCGAAACGCGUUUAGAUACCGUUUUACCACUUUAUAAUAAAGAAAUUAUUUUUGGCAUAAAUUAUUUCAUUGCCACUUUUUCUUUUUUACCUGACUACAUCAAUAUUGCAUACCCUAUAAGAAGCAUAAAGAAUCCACAGGUGGGGAUUAUACCACCCAAACGCUUACACUGAGCAGUACAAGCCUGCUCUAAACAAUGUGAGUAAUAUAGUUUAUACUUUUAUAAAAUCUUUUAUUCAUAAAACAGAGAACACUAUUUUAUCCUUUUACUUCUGGGUCGAACAAUACCAAUAUUGGACGCUGAACCUGUGCCAUAUAUCUGCCAAUCAAGUAUUACCUCAUAUAUCCUUGAGUGGGGAUUAUUCCACUUCACGCGUGCAAUAUCAGAGCUGGAUUUUAGCUCUGUAAAGUGUGAGUAAUACUAUUAUUACUACCUUAUAAUUUUAUUCACCUAUAUACUGUGGCAUUGGAGUCCUGUUCUUGUCUUCUUUUUUUUUUGCAUAUGCUUCACUGAAUUCCAAUUAUACAACCGUGAAGAUUUACUUCAUUUUAUAUGUAAGAAGUGCUACUUCUACACGUGGAUUCUAUCAUCUUGGACUUAUGAUAAGUUAUUUGGACUACUAUUAAUUUAUUUUAUAUUAUCAUCAUUUUAUUAUAUGUUUUAGGCACACCCUUUUUCUGUUGUGUGUUUUCUUGUGUUUUAUCUCAUUGUUAGGGGAUUAGAGGGGACUCCCCUUUGAGGUGUGCAGCCGUUUUACUAUAUUUCUCUGUGGCAGUUUAGCGCUGAUUUUUCUCUUUGUCUCUUCUAACUUUGGCCAGUGUUUGUGACUAAGUGGCUACUAAAAAAGACUGGACAUACUCCAUAUUGAAUACCCUGGGUUGUCUACAUUAGAAAAAUAUGUACAUGUGAGAUGUGAUGCAAAUAUUUGUUACAGAGAACAGUGUUACAAUGUCACCAUUAAUACAUUUUUUAAAUAUAUAUUUUGAAACAGCAAUGUCCUACUUGUACUUAGAGCCCUAUAACUCGCAAAAAAAGAAGCUAAGAACAUGUUAACACUGGGUAUUUCUAAUCUCAGGACAAAAUUGAUUACCUGUUUAGCACGGGUGUUUUUUGGCAGUUGUAGAUGCGUAACAGAAUUUGGGGGUCAAAGUUAGAAAAGGUGUGUUUUUUUUUUUUUUUUAAAUGUUUUCAUAUUUUAUAUUUUUUGAGUAACAGGAAAAUUACAGCUAAACACAAACACCACAGAAAUUUAAAAACAGCCCUGAUCCUUAACGGUAAGAAAUUUGAAAAACGGUCUGGUCACUAAGAGGUUAGAAUCUCUGUCACUACUCAGUAUUUCAACUGUAUGAAAUACCAAUGCUGACUGUGUUGAAAAUUCAUUAAUAUUCCAACAAAAUCCAAACAGCCCAUUAGACAAAGUAUUACUUUGUUUUAUGGUAAAGCCUGAGCUUGGAUAACGCUGGAUUACCGAGUCUGCAGUUAAAAUACAAAUAUAAAAAUAUAUACAAACACCAUAGUUUAAUUUUAGAGGGGAACUGGUGGCAUUAAGUUCCCCCUUAACCUAAACUUCCCAAUGUACAUAUUUGAUCAAAUCCCAGAAAGGGGAACACCAAAUGAACUCAACAUCACCCUCCUAUAUUAAAUAAAGCUGCAGUCCCUUUAUUUUUUCAUGUAAAAAUACAUAAACUGGAGAACAAGAGAUUACCACCACAUUAGAAAACUACUACCUUCAACUGCUAAAUGCAUGAAAUUGGUAAAGGUACUGUAAUUUUAUUUAUCUUCGCAGGUGUUCCUUUGGCGUUCCACAUGUGGGGUCUGACAGAUAUGUACAUCUGAAAUCCUGAGGCUGACAAAACGUAAAGUUCUACUAUCAACUUUUCUUCGGCCAUCACAUGUGAUGGGUUUUAGGAUUUCACAUGCUCCUGACACAGUCCCUGGGAAAUGAUUUGCCAGGAGCUGAAGAAGAUUUCCAGGAAGAAGAUGGCAGCGGACGUGAGAUUCAGACAAGUUAACCUACCUUCCACUGCAACUCGCAGCCAGGCGAGCCUAACCAGAGAUGUCACUUUCAGGGGUCUUUGCUAAAUAUAUACUGCUCAGUAUAGUAGGUAUCACCAUUAACAAUGUCAUAGUCUCCACUUAUACAAGCC
rnacentral:lncRNA from 1 species